rnacentral:lncRNA from 1 species
UGUUGGUGGCGUAACAACAGGUGGCGGUGGGCACGGUGAUGGCGGUGGCGGUGGGCACGGUGAUGGCGGCGUUACGACGGGUGGAGGCGUAUGAGUGGGUGGUUUAGGGGUGGACGGAGGUGGUUUAACAGUGGGCGGUUUCGUGGGUGGUUUCGGGGUAGACGGAGGAGGUUUAACGGUGGGCGGUUUCGUGGGUGGUUUCGGGGUGGACGGAGGUGGUUUAACGGUGGGCGGUUUCGUGGGUGGUUUCGGGGUGGGAUGAGGUUUGGUAGGGGGUUUCGGAUGUGGGUGUGGUUUGACAGUGGGCGGUUUGGUAGGGGGUUUAGGGUGUGGGUGUGGUUUGACGGUGGGUGGUUUGGGAGGUUUUACUGCCGGUGGUUUAGGCGGUUUGCUAGGAUGUUUAGGCGGUUUGUGGGGGUGAGGUGAUGGUUUAGGAGGGCUACAGUCGCAAGCGAAGGAGACGGCAAGAAAGCCAAGGAAGAGGAAGAUAAGAAAAGAGAGGUUUUGUGUACGAGACCCCAUUUUUCUAGAGUGAGGGUGUGGUUUACCCAAAGGACUGAGUAAGAAAGAUAUAUGAGUGUAUCAUUUUAUAGAAAGAUAUUAAAAUAUAUUUGCUAUAUAUAAUUUUCAAAUAUGCAUUUUGUGACUAGAUUAUUGAAACUGAAUUUCAGUUUUUGUUUUUGUUUUGAAAUCUAGAUUUUGUAGCAUGUGUUAAGUCACUUAGUUACAACUUACAAGUUGUCAUUUCCUGAGUUGUAAAAAAAUAGGACAACAUUCGUUAUAUAUAUACUUCCAUAGAAACUCUAUUGUGGUUGUGGAUCAACCUAUGUGAAGAGGAUACAAAAAAAUAAGCUUUAAAGAUUUUAGUAAGUUCAAUUUUUUUUUGUAUUUUUCUUAUUGAUCAAAACACUGCCAAAAGCAAAUAAACUGCAUUUGGUGCGAAGAACUCAAAUACUACUCCUCGCAAGGUUUCUGCCAAAUCAUUUGCUCUAUCCUUCUCCCUUUGAGUUUUUUUUAAUCUAGGGAGAUAUAUAUACCUUGUUAUUCAUAGUCUACUUAGAACAAGGAAGCAGAUAUAUAUUAGAUUUCUAAUAUACAACCUCUGAGUAACUCGGAUUCGGCCACCUCCUCGAAUCAUAGGAUGACUCUAUCCACUCUUCAAUGUACGUAAUAUUAUUUGAUCAUCCAUGUUUUUGCACUCGGUAAUUUCUAGCUAUAUAUUAAAACUGGAAAUUGUUUUGAGUAAAUUCGAUUAUGAAUAGUUGGUAAACGUAUGGUUUUAUGCUUCUGCCACGGUUGUUUAAAUAAAGGAAUAAAAGAGUGCAAUUUUAACCAAAAAAAAAAAAGAGAGAGAGAGAGAGUGCAAUUUCAGUUCUACGAGACCUUGAUCUGAAUCCAAAAUAUAUUAUGAUAAAAAAAAAAUUCAUGCCACCAAAAAUAUUUUUCUUAAAGAAAAUAUGAUAAUUGGCCAAAAACCAUGAAAUUUGUGUUUUGUUUUAUCAACGUUGAGUUGACCUAGUGAUAAAGGAAUUGCGACUGUAACUUCCGCCACUUGGGUUCAAUUCACAGUGAAAGAAACUAUUUACAAUGCUUGGGUUUUCGGUUUUUUAGACCAAAAAGAAAAAUCCUUUGUUUUAAUUUCUUGGACAUGAUCAUAAUGGUUUAGCCAAUAUAAAACGUACAAACAUGAAAAUGUUUGACGAAACGACCACCGGAGAUAGAAUUGUCAUCAUGCAUUGAAAAACAUAAACUUUCGCAAAGGUAGGCACCAUUAUCGUACGUCUUAUAUGUUUUCUAUUUCUUUCUUUUGUUCUCGUUUCCAAAAGGCUAUUGUCACCAAGCUUUUCCAUCACAUAUUUUCCGUAAAAUGAUCGAUAUUUUCAUAUAUGGGUAAAACUUAGCUUUUCCAAAUAUGCGUUCUCUUUUUAUAAUCCUGUCUAAUAGUGUCUUGCACUCUGGUUUGUUAAAUCGGAGAUCCAGUUGGUCAAAUAUCUAAAAUCAAGGCGUAAAUCAGGGAAAUGUCCCGAUAUUGCCAAGCUCUAAUACUCUAGCAUAAUAGCAUUUUAAAGAAUGCCCAGUCUAUCAGCGUUUAACAGUCACUAGAUUAAAACAUUUGUUAUGUUAUUGCAUAGAUUUUCUUUUCUAAAAAAACUUUGGGCAGACAUAUUUUGUAAUUACUAGUGAAAACAAUGGGAGUAACCAGAGGAUUUUGUAGUGUUAUGGCCAGUGGGCAGACAAUUUAUGAAGGGAUUUUGUCAGCAUUACUUGACUUAAGACACACCUCCCAUCUUCUAUAGUGACAAGAUAUAAUUAAAGACAUCCUUCUCACUCUUCUUUUUUUCUAGUUCCUUCCGUUUUAGGUCCACUUUUCGAGAAGCAUAUUAGGCAAGUUCAGAACUUCUCUUGGGUUUUAGUUUAUGUUUUUACCUAUUCAAAAAGGAGGAAAAUAAUCAGUUUUGGUUUAGCAUACCAAACCUACGAUGUAAAGUAUUCAAAUGUUCAGUAUUCAUAUAAAGUAUAUAAGUCGAUAUAUCUUGAGCCAAGGUCCGAGUUAUUGGGAUUUCGUAGGUAGAUGACAGGUUAAAAAGUAUUCGUUUAUAUUGAUGAAAUCACUCCCCCACACCUCCAUAACGUGUUUCGGCCGUUCAGUCAUUUACAUUUUCAUAUAACCAAUCUAGGCUUUGGAUCAUAUAUUAUCCAUCCAUAUGAUUUGUUCAAAGCUUUUUCUUUAGUUUGUUUUUGUCUCCCGCGUUUGAAAGAUACGAGCUUUGUGAGCCUUUUAUCAGAUCUUUAAGUGAUUGAAUAGCGUCCGUGAUUGAUGAUUCUCUUUAGAAUUUUUCCAUUAAAUAAUAUUAAUUUUAAAAUAUAUAUUGUACUACUAUUAUACUAGUGAUGAUUCAGAAUAUGAUUUCAUAGUGUAAAUAGGUCAACAUAUACUAAUUAAAGCUAAAUCUACUAUAUGAUUGGUAAAAUUGAAACGAUCAUUUGGUUAACACACACGUUCACUGCGUUUGAAAUAACAAAACUGUAAAUUUACUUUCUUCAGAACACGAUUUAUAGUUAUUUUUCUCCCAGAUUCUUUCACAUGGUAUAGAAAGCUUAUUUAUUAGUAUUGUUGGGGAUUUUUGUUAUUCAAAUUUCUAUUUGUCAUGAAUAAAUUUAUUAUUGAACAGUUUUCACCAUACUAUUCGCAGGUGUACUAAGAAAAGGUAGAGUGAAAGUUGUACAAAAUCCCAUUGUGUCCGAGGAGUAAGAGCACUUCCAAUGGAAGUUCUACCCAUUAAAAUUCUAAAUAUGAAUAUGUAUAUAUGUAUAUAUUGUAUAUAUGUAUGUAGUUGUGGGGUCUACUAAAUAGUAUAAAAUUUCUAUUCAAAAGGUAUAAUUUUGGAGAUUCUCUAAAAGUUUUCUCUACCACUUUUUCUCUGAACAAACUUUUUUUUCUCUGAACAACCUUUCUUUGCCAUAUUCACUUUCGCAUCUCUAUUGACAAUAUCGCAAAAACAUUGUGGUUUAUUUUCUAAUUCAGUUUAUCAAGAACUGUUUAAAAUUAUUUUAGUUAUAAACCUACUUUGUAUGAUAAAUUAUGAAAUUAAAAACUUUUAGAUUUAUUGAAUAAAACAAAAUAAAGUUUAGACGCCACUACAAGGUGGCGGGUAGGAUUUGGCGGGUAGCAAAAACAUUGUAAACCCGUGAAGUCUGUCACUUUUAGGAUUUAUUUUUCUUUAAAAACCAAAAAUGGGAAAUGGAUAAUGUGACGUGCUGAAUGCAUCACAUGCAUGCAUGUGACUCCACCAUAAUUUAAGAAAAAACAAACUUAAAAAAAUGUGGUCUGACUCUCUGAGUACUCAUGUCCUAGUCGUGAGGACACGUCAGUCCAUCACCAGCCGGGGGAAAAAAUGUACACGAGAAAAGAUGUCGUUGUGAUAAUUUGUUUUGCAGAAGCUUUUUUUUUUGCAAUUAAAAAGUGGAGAAGAAGAAAUCGAACCCGGUUUUGCGGAAGCUUGAUCAUUUCUUUACUGAUAGAGUGAUAAUAGUUAGAGAAAAUUGGCCCAUGUACCCUUAAAUGAUCCCUUAAUUUGAGCUUUGCGCCUGAAAUGACAGUAUUAGUUUUAUUCUGAAAUUAACCUUACUUCCUCGUUGACGGCUUUAGAUGAAGUUGUGUCAGUAUACCCUGUGCAUGUCGAAAAUAUGUAUCAGAUGGAAAAUUCUUUUCUAGUUCUCUUUCUUCUCGUAAUCUCUUUCUUUUCAAAGGUCUUUUUUUUUUCUUUUCACUUCUCUAUAUUAAAUGUGUGUUUUGCAAUGUCUUUCUUCUCUCCUUCUCUAUUUUUUUUUGGUGUAAAUGUUAAGAUUUAUACCAACUUUUCUGUUUUUUGAAUUACAAGAUGUGGCAAGCCACUUAUUAAGCAACAAGAAGAGAAAGAAGGAAAAGAAGCAAGAAACUAAGGUUCAUUACAAAGAAAGGCGGAGUAAAGCUGCAGGAGCGAGACAUGAGAUGGAGAUCGAGUCGGGAUAGAGAGCAGCCGGUCCCUAAUCAUGCGAUCUACCCUUGAAGCCAGCACCGUUGCAGGAAUAGAAGUGGUUGUGAAGAUGCGUGCGUUCCUUUCCCUCCACAAGCAAUAAAUGACAACCUGCAAAAUUAGCUUGAGGACUGGUAUAGUCCUAGGUGUAGAAGUGAACUGGUGACAUCGCAUCGCGUUGGCACACGCUAGUGUUGAGACCGGAGGAGCCGAGAGAUAUCUUCCUACACAGAAACGCGACCAAACAGAAGAAGCAUAGGUGCAUUGAAAGAAUAGGUGAUCAUGUGAUUCUAGCCCAGUUGAGCAGAGCACACAGUGCGCCGGAACAUUCAUGCCCCAAGACGCUAGCCGAUCCCUUGUUGGUAGUCGUUGAAGCACAGACAGCCAGGUGAUAAACGAGCAACGCGGGAUUUCCUCCUUAAACCAGACCAAGCCUGCCCAUGAAACUGGCUCUGCAGUCUGCCUUAUGAGCUCCCAUGUUCUCUUGGUGGAGAAUUGUUUGUCAUAACUACUGUCCCCACUGCGCCACAGAUAGCAAUCUUUACCUCUCGAGGGAGAUGGUGGUGGGAUUGUGGAAAGAACAAUCUGUAGUGUCUCGGACUCAUCAGAUCUAGCUGAUGGGAUUUGCCAGGUUCCAUCCCUAGUUGCCUCGGAAACUGUAGAGUUUAGGGGAAUGCGGAGAUCUCUUGGACCCGUAGGACCCAUUGCCGAGAUCAAAGGCCCCAUAUCUGUCCACCAGUCAAACCAAAAAGACGCUGACCUGCCAUCGCCUAUAGAGCAUCGAAGGAAAUAUUCAACUGUCGACUUGAUGGAGAUCAUAUUUUUCACCGUUGAAGAAAACCGUGCUGCAUUUUCCAUAAUCCAGUAGCUUUUGCGGAUGAAAACGUUGUUGUACAACCAACGGCUCCACAACGACUCAGAGGAGGUGAAAUAAUUCCAGACUCUCUUCAACUGGAAUACCGACUGAUAAUCUUCAAGCUUUCGGAUCCCCAAGCCUCCCUCUUGCUUAGGUUUACAGAUACUCUCCCAUGAAACCCGGGCUCCCGAAGCCGAAGUGGUUUUGUUGUUCCAUAGAAAGGCUGAGCAUAGAGAAUCCACUUUUGCGUAGAACCGCUUAGGUAAAGUGAAUACCGAACUCCAAAAAUUGACCAUCCCGUAGAUAACGGAGGUCACCAUUUUUAUCUUUCCAGCAAAGGACAAACAUUUAGCCGUCCAUGAAUGAAGCUUAUUGGUGAUUCGCUCCAGAAAUGGCUGCAGGGAUUCGAAGUUCAAACGAGUCGGAUUCAGGGGUAAGCCUAGAUAACGGGUAGGAAAAGAGCCCUUCUUGAAUCCUGAGAGGUCACUAAUUACAGAAGCUUCGAUACUACUAUAACCCCCAAGAAAGAUUUCUGAUUUUGUGGGGUUAGUAUCAAGACCAGUCCAGCAUUUGAAAGACCUCAUUACUGCUUUAAUCCCAUUGAUUGAGUGAUUAGACCCGUCAGAGAAGACAAGCAAGUCGUCCGCAAACAGCAAGUGAGUCACUCUAGGAUGGGCACAUAAAGGAUGUAAACUCAUACCCUCUUCAUCAACCAAUUUCUCAAAUAAUUUUGACAGCACUUCCAUAAUCAUGAUAAAGAUAUAUGGGGAGAUAGAGUCACCUUGACGCAAGCCUUUUUUACCGGCGAAGAAUCCAGCCAGCUCGCCAUUUACGGAAACGGAGAAUCUUGGAGAGGUCAUACACUCUUUAAUCCAGGUAACGAAGAUCGGGGGAAAGGAUUGAGCUUGCAACAAUUUGAUAACGAAGUCCCAGCAGACAGUAUCAAACGCCUUCCGUAGGUCUACCUUUAGCGUGCAGCUUGGCUGGCAGUUUGCUGAGUUGUAUGACUGAAUCAGUUCGGUCGCUAAGAGGACAUUGUCCCCCAGAGAUGUGCCCUUCAGAAAAGCCGCUUGAUUUGGGCUCACACAAGACUGCAUAAGAGGUUUUAACCUGUUGGUGAUUAUUUUCGAAAUGACCUUGUAGACUAUGUUGCAGCAACUAAUCGGUCUGUAGUCUCCCAGUCUGCAUGCUUCAGGGGUCUUAGGUAUUAGAGCAAUGGCUGUGGUAUUCAGAUCCUUUAGGAGACGACCAUUCCUGAAGAAUUCUGCUACCGCAUUAACGACGUCCUGCCCUACGGUGUCCCAAGAAGCCCGGAGAAACUCAACACAAUAGCCAUCGGGGCCAGAACUCUUGUUCAGCGGCAUUGAGAAGACUGUGGCCCGGAUCUCCGCUGCUGUGACUACUCUACUCAAAUACCGUUGUUGUAAUUCUGAGCAUCUGAACCCUAACAGACCUUGUAGUUCAGUGACAGUUACCGGCGAAGUAGCCAUAUCUGUCUGCCCUAAGAUUCCUUCAAAAUAAGCCGCAGAAUGGGCUUUAAUACCAGCAGCUGUUCCAAUAAACUGAUCAUUUUCGCCUUUAAGGAAGUGAAUGUGAUUGCGAGUCAGACGUUGAGAGACUGUCUUAUGAAAGAACGGUGUGUUACGAUCUCCCACAUCUGCCCAUCGCACUCUUGAUCGUUGUCUAUAGAACUUUUGCUCUGCAGUUAGCAACAUGUUGAGCUUCGCUCGGUCCCUGUGCUCUUGCUCUGCUGUAUUCCUGUCUGGAGCAGAUAGUAGCGAACGUUGCAGUCCCUCUACGACACUCGUUUGCUCCUUUACCCGCUGAGAGAUACCACUAAAAUGAGUCUUGUUCAGGUAACGGAGAUCCUUUUUCAAACCUUUCAGAGAGCGGACUAGUUUGAAUUGAUCCGAUCCUACAAUCUGAUUAGGCUUCCAAGCUUCGGAGACUGUUGCAGCAUAGUCCGGAUGGUCAAUGACAUGAUGAAAGAACUUGAACGGCUUACAGGACUGUCGUCUUAGCGACGGAAUUCUGAAGGCACAAGGAGCAUGAUCAGACUGGCCUGGUUCUAAGUAUUCAGCAUAAGAAUCAGGAAAUACUGAUGCCCAGGCCUGGUUAAUGAAAGCGUGAUCAAUCUUCUUAGAAAUAGGGUUAUCAACUUGGUUAUUCCACCAGGUGAAUGGAGAACCCUUUGAUUGAGCUUCGAAUAACUCAGCAUCCUGAAGUGCCGUUGUCAUAUCUUCCAUACCCGUAGUAUCAAUAACAGAAUCAGGGUAUUGGGAGUGAUUACUAACCCUGAUGAUUUGGUUGAAGUCGCCUACAACCGACCAGGGAGAGUGAGAAACCGAUGUUGUUCUGUUGAUGAGGGUAAGUUCAUCCCAAAGAGAUUGCCUAGCUUCCACCUCAUUAAACCCAUACGCAAAAGUGACGGUGAGGUUGAUAUUUUCCGCCAUUAUGAAAAUUCCACAGGUAAUUGCCUCAGCAGAGGCACUAUACACAAAAACUGAUACCGUCGGGUCCCAAACGACCACUAUCCUACCGGCUGGAUGAUGUUCAAAAUUCCCAAAAUACCUCCACCCUGCCGGAAUUGCAUUCAAAAUCCGAGAUUGGUUAUUUUCUUGUACAUGUGUUUCCAAAAAAGCUCCCAGUAGAGGUCUGUGGAUAUUAAUCCACUCUCUGGUCAUUGUGUGGCGUAUAUCACUAUUCAGUCCUCUAACAUUCCACGCAAAAAAUAUCGACAUAAUGAUUAGUGGUUGCGUUUGGCCUUGCGGCGACUCUUUCUCCCGAGAACCAGCAGAAAGCCAUCAUCACUUGUAGCAUCAUGAUCAGUUUGUGAGUAACCUGACCUGUGCUCCUCCACUCGCCUCUCGUGAAUUACAUCACUACUAGACUCUUUAGUAGUAUUAUAAUUCAGUGAGACUUUAUCAUUUGUAGAUUGUCUGGUACAACCAUUUUCCGGAGGAUGCACUGCAUCCUCAACAGCCACUCCCUCCGCAGCAUCCUCAGCAGCCACUGCAACCUCAGCAGUCCCAGUGGGAUCAAUUGAUGUCUCCGCUGUUCCUAGACUGAUCUCUCCCUCCUCUCGAUCAAUGGCAGCAGGAUCUCUGUCUUUUUCCGGAGAGAUCUUCACAUUAUGGACAGGUUUACGGGAAUGCCUUCUAUUGUUGGGGCGGGAGCGUCCAGCGCGUUCCUGAAUUGGUUUCUUCUCCCUACUACGAGAUGUGCUUCUGUCCCGAUUAACCACUGUUCUUCCUCCAACCGCGGGUACCCGACAUUUAUCAUUCUCGUGCCCAAAUCUCCCACACUGACUACAUUUUACUGGUAACCAGGGGUAGGUAACAGAUAUUUCAACCUCACGACCAUUAGAAAACCCUGAGAUAAUCUUUGAGGGUAGUGGUUUGGUAAGGUCAACUCUGACGUACAUCUUCGCCACCUUAAAAUUUUCCUUGCGCUCUGUCUCCGGUGCAAGUGAAUCAGGCUUACCAAUAGCUGUAGCGAUCCUGCUCAAGCUCUGUUGGUUAAACAGUAGGUAGGGAACAUUCCGCAACUCCACCGGAACUACCGCAGACGUUAAUGGGGCUUCCUCUGGAGCAAAGUCAGGCGACCAUGGAGCCACGAACAUUGGAUAUCCAGCCACAUUCCAGCAUGUACGACUGAGAAGAGAUUCUCUUGCUUUAAUGUUUAUAACUCGCAGCAAGUAGCAUCCUUGGCCAAUGUUAUGAACAAAAAUCCUCGGUCCCGCCUUUGCCCAAAUAGCAUUUACCACACCAAUGAUUCGACCCAUUGAUGGGAAAUCACUGUGAAAUCUCGCAAAGAGGAAGUCUUUGAAUUCUUCUCUUGCUGAUUGAAUGUUGUCAUCGGGUAUGAGAACAAACGGCGCUCCUGAGACGUGCUCUGUAGGCGUACCAAGUUCUUCCAGUUUCGCUGAGGCCUUAAGAAGACUUGCAUAGUUUUGGUUACCAGAGGGCGAGACCGGCCUAACAGUCUCUGUCUCCUCAGAGGGUGUAUCCGCAGUCAAAUGGACUGGCGAUGAUCCGAAAGCCACCUCCUUUGCAGCAUUCAGAACAGUAUCAGUAUGAGCUGAUGUCUCAGCCACAAUGACUGGAGCAGCUACUGAUUGCAAAUCCCCAUUUCUUUCAUGGGUAGAUGUUCCCUCAACAGACAGAGAUGCCGAACCUUUAACAUUAAGAGCCAAAGCGGACUCGUCUUGAGUCAGAUCUGUAGCCGCGGUCACUGCCUCGUAGCUAGAAGAAAGCUUCUCCUCUACCACACCUGUGGCAAUUACAGCAUCAGCAAUGGGAUUGCUGGCGAGAGGAAUAGAUUUCUUCUUGCCCUUAGCGGCAGCGGCGAACCGGGCCAUUUUCGAAGAACCUUGUAGCGGAUGACGUUGUUUGUUUCGAAAUUUCAUGGGAGCCAGAGAUUUGAGAAGAAGAAAGGAGGCAGAGAGUUCUCGCCGGAGGAGCGUGGUGCUCUCCGACGGCGGAUUCGCGGUGGGAAAACCCUUAUCCUAAAAAUCGCCUUUAGCCCUCAUGAGAGAGAAAAAUCAGAAAAUUCAUAAUUGUUCCCACAUUUAUCCAGCUCUCCUUCUCUAUUUUGUUCGUAGAUUCUUUAUUUUUGUUUCGUUUUUUAAAUCUUUAGAUCUUUAUAAUUUAAAAAAAAAGAAAAAAGAAAUUCAUCUCAAAUUUGUUUUGCACUACUUUUUCAUAUUAUGUUCUUCAUCUAGACUUUUUUGGUUCCUUUUAUUUUAUUUUCUAUGUUUGAUUUUUCUCAUUAAUAUAUUUUAUCUCUAAUGAACUCUCUUUCCAGGGUUGGGAAGUUGCUGAAGAUCCAAGAUGAAUCCAGAGUGAUGGCUAGCAAUUUCGUGAUGUUUGUUGAUAUAUAUAACAUUUAUGUUAGCAACCAUUUUACUUGUUACCCAAUAUUAUUUAUGUUUAUUAGUGUAUCUUUUGUUUUCUAUCGCCAUUUGAGAUCAAGUUUUUUAGAUGUUAGUAUUUAAUUGUCGCUAACUGAUAAUAUGUGGUAACGUGUUAUAAGUUAUGUGUUGUUAGUAGAUAUAUAGUUGGUUAAAUAAUAUAUGGCUUGUUAGGCGUUAAAUUUUUCUUGGUACUUUAUUUAUUAGCUAAUACAUUAUUUGUUAGCUGAUACAUAUUUUCGUAGUAGAUACAAUUUUUUAUUAUGUAUGUUAUUGAUUCUUUUAACAUACUAGACAUAAUCAUGAUCAUCUAACAAAGCAUAUUAUAUGGUUUGUUAGCUGAUAUAUGUUUUUUUUUCUGAUUAAAUAUCAAAUUUAUUGAUCAAAGUGAAAAAGGAAUUUACAUAAAAUGAUAUAUUGUUCUAAUCUGUAAAGAAUAAAACAAUGAUAUGUUCUAAUAUGUGUAGACAGUAAACUAUCUCAUAAAUAGUCCGCUCAGCUUAUGGUUUUCCCUAUACUUCAAAGAUGAGAUGCGCUUCUUGACAAUAUUCCCAAUGGCCUUAGUAGUUGUAUCAACAGGUGCACACACCUCCGUGCCGUCUUGAGUUCCUCUCCUUCCACAACAUAUAAAUGACUGUUUGGAAAACUAAGCGGAGGAGUAUAGCAUCGAGUCUGCUCCUGUUCUGGCGUAACAGGGAGGUGACUAUAUCUUUCCAGUCCGGUGUUAUCGCUAGACCAAAUAAUUUCUUUGCUACGUUUAUCCAAACUGUGAAGGUAUAAGGGCAAGCGAAAAACAAAUGAUCUCUGCUUUCAUCCUUGUCUCCACAGUAGACACAUCAUUGCUCCAUUCUCCAUUCUUUCAUUCUAGUGCCUGUUGAUAAUCUGUCCUUGAAAACUAACCAUACCACGAAGGAUUGUCGGGGUAUGGCCUGAGGGAACCACACAAUACAAUGCCAAGGAAGCUUUGUCUUUUUAACUCUCAGGUAGUUCCAAGUCUUGGUAGCUGAGAAAUAUGGUUUCAAAUCAUCCUGGUCAUGUCUCCAUAGAGCUAUAUCUGGCCCUGCAGUAGCUACCGGCUGUGGAAUCUCUGCAAGCUGAUAUAUGAUUUUUUGAAUAGACAGUUUUUUGUUUUUUGUUUGUUAGAUGAUAAAUGGAUUGAUACAUAUUUUGUGAGUAAUACAUUGUCUAAUAAACGGUUCGUUAUUUAAUAAAUGAUUUGUUAUCUGGUACAUGUUUUUUUAGCAGUGCAUAGUUCAUUAACCAAAAAAUUGAUAUUUAAUAUUAUGUAUAUUAUUGAAUACAUAUUCUUCUUUCUCAUCAAUUUAUACGAUAUAUAUAGAAUUAGAAAAUAUUUCGAUCAAAAAAAAAAAAAAUAUUUCGCAAGUGUGUAAGAUAUUUUGUUAUUAAUACCAUUCAAAGUUCGUUGCUACUCUUGUUUGAUAAAUAGUUUGUUAUAGGAUACAUGAUUUAUUAUCUGUCACAUAUUUUGUUAGCUGAUGAAUAGUUGAUACAUGGUUUGUUUGAUGGUUCGCAAUUUAUUAAAUGAUACUUACAUACAUACCAACUAACACAUAUGUUAUCAAGAACGGGUUCUUCUUAAAUUUUUGAUACACCACCGCAUGAAUUAUAGUUGAAGAGAAAGACCACAACACAGAAUCGCUAUUAAUAUGAUUGGAAAUUGAAAACACAUUAUGAUUUGAAACAUAAAGGGAUAAGAACAAUGUUCACCGGAAGGGAUAAAAUCCCCGCAACCUGUCAUAUCGAUCGGAGUGUUUAAUGUUGAAUCCUCCAGUGAGUUUAAUGUCAUAUAGGAGUGUUUAAUGUUAAAUUUUUAAUACAAACAUAAGAACAUCAUUAGUGGUAUGAUACCCAUUUAGAGUAUCUAAUUUAUAUAAUAUUAAUAUUAAAACUAUUAAAUUUUAAACAAAAUAAAAGUCCAACCAAUGAGACAACAACAAAUAUUACCGGAGUCUAUAUCAAAUUGUGUGGAACGUUUCUUUAUAAAGGUACGUUAUCUUUCUAUUGUUUUGAUAUUUUUAUUUCAAAAAACCUAUUCAGAAACUAGCACGCAAGUUUCCUAAGAACAGUUUUUAAAAAAUGAUGUACUGAAUAUCUAUUUAUUAAAAUAAAAAUAAAAGGGAAUAGAGAACUAGAAAAGUUCUUAAUUGAGAAAUUUUGAGAACCUCAUAACAACCUUACUGUCCAAAUGUCAAAUAUUGGUUAGAUUUUUAAUAUCAAAAUUAAAUUUAACUAAGAAAUUAAGUUCUAUUUAAAAUUUAUAUUUUUUGCCGUAAAAAAUCCAUGUGGAUUCUUACCAAUGGUGUUGCUCUAAUAAGACUAUCCACAUCAAAAAUAUUUCAAUUAGAAUAUGUCACCAAAAUAAUAAUUUUUAAUUUUUUUUAAAGAGAUUCAUGCUGAAAGUCGUCAUUUGAGAAUUCUGGACAUGAGUCUAUCAAAACAUUUGUAAAAAGAAAUCAUUAAAAUAUUGUAUUUUGUUGAGAGAUUCAAAUAAUAAUGUCCUAACGAAACAUACUUAUGCAUGAGUAUGAUUUCUCAACUUUGUUUGCUCUUUGGUUAGCUAAAACUACAAAGAAAUAUUUGAUAAAAUAUCAGUAUUUGUGAUUGGAUAAGAACGGAUAUGUAAAUUAAUAUUAGUAUUUAUGAUUUGUUAGGAACGGAUUUUUGGAUUAAAUAUUACUAUUGAUUUCGACACGUCUACUAAUAAUUCCCAUCGUUUAGCACCUCAAGACGUAGAAGAAGACAGUAACAUACAGGGAAUAUUAUAGUGGCACAAAUAUAUCAGAACUCAACUAUAUUGUGAGACGAUUGAAGGUACAAAGAAAAGUUUAUUAUGUCUUACUUUUUCCACUUAUCUUCUACUACAUUUUGCCUGGAUUUGAAACUUUAUUAUGCUAUCUUUAGCUAAUUCAUGCAAUAAUAGAUUUCCUUGGGAUGAACUGGCACAAUUUUUUUUGAACACAAAGAUGAACUGGCACACAUAUUAAACAUUUGUCGGUUAUUUCGUAAGUACAUUCCAGAACAAAAAGAUACUAAUGUAUGUUGAUAUGUAUUACCAUUUACAAGAAUAACAUUGACAAAAGAAUAAAGAGUAGAUGUUCAUACAUUUUCAGUGUCACAUGAAAACACAGUUAAGUAAGUUUGGGUUGGCUCAAAAUAGUCAAAGCGAGUUAAGCGAUCAUUUAGGCCGAAUACUAUAGAUUAGAGCAUUUCCAAAGGCACUCUAUUUUUUCCUCUAUAAUUUACACUAAAAUAGAGUAACUCUAUUAUAGAGUUAAAUUUGCUCCAAUGGUUCACUCUAUAAUAGAGUUACUCUAUAAUAGAGUGAAAUAUAGAGUAAUCCUAUUUUUUUACUCCAAAUAUAGAGUGAAAAAACAAGAAUACUCUAUAUUUCACUCUAUUAUAGAGUAACUCUAUUAUAGAGUAAACCAUUGGAGCAAAUUCAACUCUAUAAUAGAGUUACUCUAUUUUAGAGUGAAAUAUAGAGGAAAUUAUAGAGUGUGAUUGGAGAUGGUUGACACAUUCUCUCUCUUUUUUUUUUUUUUGCUAAAAUUCUCUCUCUUUUUUCUAAUGGUUUUUCCUUUAAAGUAAGAGCAUCUCCAACCCCACUCUAUUUUUCACUCUAAAAUAGAGUUUAGAGUAAAUAAUGCUCCAAUGGUACUCUAUUUCUCACUCUAUAAUAGAGUGAAAAAUAGAUUUACUCCAAAUAUAGAGUAAUUUGUUUUUUUUUUGUUCAUCACUCUAUUUUCUACUCUAAAAUAGAGUACCAUUGGAGCAAACUCAAACUCUAUUAUAGAGUUACUCUAUUUUAGAGUAAAAAAUAGAGUGAACCAUUGGAGAUGGUCUUAUGCAAUCGGGAAUUUUUUUGCUUGUUACUGUUCAAAACCAAUAUAAGAGCUAUAAACCCAAUCUUAUAUGAAAAAAAUAUCAUGAAACUAAUAAAGAAAAUUGACCUUCCAAUAUAUAAUUACGGAUUUCAAUUUCAUGCAUGCAUGCAUGUCCCUGCACCAUUCGUUUCUUUGUUUCCUCUCACGACCCAAUAAUUUGAAAACCAAGUAAAUUAAAAGAAAUAUUGGUGGUCGUCUGAGUACUUGAGUAUUAUUCGCAAGGACGUGUUGUUGGUCCAUAACCAGCAGAAAAGACCAAGAAAACGAUAUUGGUUUUGAUGUUGAAUACACGUCGGUCCGACGACAGCAGAAAAGAGAAUAAAAUCCAGACGCCAUAUGAAUUUGUUUAUGUCGGUAACUCAAUAGCAGAAAAUAGGAUUAUAUAUAUUGAAUCAAAAAGCGAUCAUCGUUUUGAUAUUUUAAUUUACGCAUGUACCUGCACUAAAAAUAUUGAAAUAAAAAUAAUAAUUUUAAUUUUGAUUUUUUUGAGCAAAAUAUCACAAAUAAAAUACUUUCAUACGUAUCUUAACAGUAAAAUAGUGAUAUAUUUUAAUAUAUAUAUAUAUAUAUAUAUAUAUUUAUCUACUUUCUUAAAAAACAUUCAUUAGAAAUACUCUUAAAACAUAUUAAAAAAACAUUUUUAUUGAUUGCAGAUUUUUUUGUAAAACAGAGGUUGACUAACGAAAUGGUUGGUUUUCAAGUUUAUCAAUUGAAAUGAAAUCACAGUUAACUCUGGAUUUAGCUAACUUUUAAAUUAACAAAUCAUUUGAAGGAACUCCACAUGUCCUAUUUCUUAAAUAUACUUUAAGCACAAUUUCUAAAUUUCCUGGAACUUUAAGAGUUUCAGAAUACCGUCCUAUCUCCUGUCUGAAUACUAUAUAUAAGGUCAUUUCGAGAUUCCUAGUUUCAAGACUCAAACCUAUUCUACAGCACUUGAUUCUCCCGUGUCAAACUGCAAUCGUUAAGGAUAGCCUGCUUGUUGAAAACACAGUACUUACUAGUGAGUUGAUCCAUGGAUGCCAUAAAAACAAGGGAUAAAAAAAAAUUACCAUAAAGGUGGACAUAGCCAAAACUUUCGACACACUAUCAUGGGAAUUUCUUCCUUGAAGGUCUCCACAUCCCUCCUAAGUUCAUUUCAUGGCUCAAGGCCUGCAUAUGCACGACAAGCUUUAUGAUUGGCUAUAAUGGUACAGUCUCAGGUUAUUUUAAAUGCAAAAGAGGCUUAAGGCAAGGUGACCUACUGUCCUCUUACUUAUUUGUGAUCGCUAUGAACUGCCUAUCCUUUAUGCUAAACAAUGCAGCAGCUCAUGGGAACAUUUAGUACCAUUCCAAAUGUAGUAAGAUGAAACUAACACAUCUAUCAUUUGCCGACGACAUACUGAUUUUCAUAGAUGGGUCUUUGGAGUCGGUCCAAAAUGUGCUUCAUAUCCUCCAUGAAUUUGAGCAACGGUCUGGCUUGGCGGUCAGCUACCAAAAAACAAGUUUUUAUGGAUCAGGUCUGUCUCCUCAAGAAAUUGAAACGAUACAUGCAUCUACUGGAAUGUCUUGUGAGACUCUACAUGUCCGCUAUCUUGGAGUACCGCUCAAUUCAAAAAAAUUAAACCUUGCUAAUUGUGAGCUUCUCAUUCACCAGAUCAAGUCAAGACUCUUCUCUUGGUCAGUGAAUUCACUCUCCUUCUCAGGCAGGCUCCUCCUCAUUAAAACUGUGAUUGCGGGAAUCAUAACAUUUUGGUGUUCAGCCUUCAUCCUGCCAAAAGCGUGUGUUUAGCGUAUCAAAUCUAUGCGCAGUGUGUUCUUAUGGAAGGGAGUAUUGAUAGCCACAUCUCUGCAAGAAUGGCUUGGGAGACAGCAGAACUUACAAAAGAUCAGGGAGGCUUGGGGAUUAGGGACCUCCAAUCUUGGAAUAAAGCUUGCUGCUUAAAGCUGAUAUGGAUGUUGUUCUUUCGUGAUGGGUUUGUGUGGGUCGCUUGUUUCAAGGAGGUCAUUAUAAAAGGGUCCAUUCACAACUACUGGACAACUAAACCAAGCAGCUCCUACUCAUGGCUAGCCAACAAACUCCUCAAGCUAAAAGAUGAAAUCUUUCCACUCAUCAAAUUGCGGCUGGAGAAUGGUGUCUCUGCUAAAUUUUGGUUUGAUAACUGGACUCCCUUUGGAAGCCUUUCGACUUUCCUCAGUAACUCCUCGUCAAAAUUGGGUAUUCAUGAAAAAGCUUAUGUAGCCUCACAAUGUAAGAAUGGAAUUUGGCGGCUUCCACCUGCAAGAACAGAAGAACAAGUUCAAUUACAGACAUACUUCACUACCGUCACUCUCACUCAGGCUCAGGACUACUAUGAAUGGGAGCUGGAAGGUAAACCUACUCAGACUUAUAGCACCCGAGAUGUUUACACUUACUUGAGAGGAGAAAUCAAUUAUGUGAUUUGGUCUUCCUAUGAGAUCAAAAGACACAACUUCCUUGUUUGGUUGGUAAUCCAAAACCGAGGUCCAACUAAAGACAAAAUACUCGGAUGGAGCCUUCAGGUUUCGCCACUAUGUCUACUUUGCAACUCAACUAUGGAGUCUAUAAAUCAUCUCUACUACGACUGCCCAUUCAGCUUUGAUCUUUGGUCCUUGGCUACUUCACGGUGUAGGAUCACCCCCACUAGAGAUUGGAACGAUACAGUCUCUUAGAUGAUUGGACUAUCUAGAAGCAAAUCGAGGCGCCAUCAAACUCUCCUAACUCUCCUAGCUGGAUAUGGAAUGAAAGGAAUUCUCGUCUUCACUCCAAUGUAUAUCGAUCGGUCAAUACUAUCUUUGCAAUAUUUGAUCGUCAACUGAGAAACAAGAUUAUGAGCUUCAGAGCAUCUAAUUCGGUUCUCUCCUCAGCAAUGUUGCAAGCAUGGUUCUCAGUGGGUUAGACUUCUCUCCGUCGACGGAUUCAUCCUCUCCCACCUCUCAACCAUCGUGCUUUCCGUCACAAGAAAACUGAUUGUCUUUUCUAAUCUGGAUAUGUGGGCUUUUUUUCUGUUUACUUAAUGGGUCAUGAAUCAUUAAGAUUUCUUUAUUAUGAGUUUUAAGUCUGGGUUGAGCCCUGGUAACUAAAGUCAAAAGCUUGUAAACAAUUUUAUUUUAUUUUCAUUUAAUGAAAGCCUAAGUUACAGAAAAAGAAACACAUUCAUGUAUUUCAAUACAUAACAAAUGUACUGUAUUCCUUGACAAAAGAACAAAAGUAGAGUAAUUAUUUGCUAUUAUUACAUAUUAAGCAAAAAAUGUUUUGAGGAUUUGGAUUUGGGUUUGUCACAUGGAUACCCAGUUAACAGCCUGGGCCGAUUCAAAGAACUCAAAGUAAACCUGAGCCAAUUAUAUUAGACUUCACGGCCCAUUAUAUAAGCUUCUUCUGGUCUAGUGGAUGGUCUCAAUUCUCAAAAUAUUCGAGGAAAUGAGAAAAUGUAUAGCAUCCAGCCUUGGAAUGAGCACUAUUGCUGUAUAACAGACAUGUCAGGGAGAGUAGACCGCGUUUGUGGAGCCUACGAGUUUCUUAAAAGACUUGGUGAAGAAGGCAGGUGAAUGUAACUGAAUUUACACCUGACAAUUUCAUGUAAACUCCGUUACAAAAAAAAAAAAUUCAUGUAAACUUUUGUAAGAUAUAAUCAUAUAAACGUAAUAAUGUUACUUGCUUUGAAUUAAUAAAAAGUUAUUACAAACAACAAGCCAUUGGCCAAACUAUAACCAUAACCUUAUGAAUAUCAAAAAUAAAUUUUAUAAUGUAUUUAUUAGUGAGGUUGAACUUUAUAGUAGGGUUUUUAUUUUGGUUUGUAUAUGAUGAUCACAUUAGAUAUUACAACUACCAUAUGCAUGGAGAUUGAAAAUUGCAUGAACAACCUAAAAAAAAAACUUACUAGUCAUUAAACUCAACCACUAGUCGUCCACCACUAAAUAAACUCAUAAGAAAUAUAUUUAUACAUACAGUUGUAUAUUUUUUAUUAAACUACAAAAAGGUGAAAGAAUACUAGAAAGUUUGUUCCAGCCUAUCAUUUCAUGUGUGUUUAAAACCCUAUAUAAUGUGAAGAGACAUAAUUUAAUCAUAAUUAACAUUAAAAGUUAUAAAAUAUGAUUGAGAGUCUUGAGCUGUUUUGUUAAUUGUAAUUGGAAUUAAGCUCAAUAUGCAUAUUGAGGUUAAUGGGACUCGUAAUGUUUCUAGAUUCAUCCCCUCUUCCUAACCCAUUUCUCACUCGGUUUUAUCAUUUCUUCAAUGUUUGGCUUUUGUAUUAUACUGGCCAGACUCGAUAUCAACGUCAAAGACCCGUCUCAGGCAAAAUCGCAAUUACAGUUAUAACUGUAAUUAACAUCAGAGCUAAGGAAUUGAAAAGAAUAUAGAUAAACGAUAAUGAUCUUUAAUCUAGGCAUGUUUGUAGCCUAUACUACCUUCACCAAAAAUCUUCCUAGGCAAGUUUGAUUUCAACAUCAUCCCCAUAUUUAUUGUCAAAAGACUAUUCUGGUCUUUCAGAAAACUCUAUUAAAUAUAUUUCACUAAUCCAAAUUUUAGCAAUAAAAAACGAUUAAAGAAAAAAAAAGCCAAAUUAAUUUUGUGGAAGGAAAAAGGCCAAUCACAGUUUAUUUUCGACUACAACUCAUAUAUGAUAGAUAAUAUCAAACCAUUAUGCCAUAAAAAGAAGAAAAAUAUAAAGUUGUAACUUAUAUUUAUAAUUUAAAUUGAAAUUUUCAAAGGCUGGUUUCAAGAGGAUUCUUUUUAAAGGAAAAUUUAGAAUUCUCACAACCUUUAUUGAGCUAAUUUGGUAAAAUUGCAUUCACAUUAAGUUCGUGUUUGAGAAAAUGUCUACAAUCCAAUAAGAAUACAAAAGUUAGUGUAAGCUAAUUUGGUAAGCUAAUUAUGGAUUGAAAAUUUAGAAUUCUCACAACCUUUAUUGAGCUAAUUUAGUAAAAUUGCAUUCACAUUAAGUUCGAGUUUGAGAAAAUGUCUACAAUCCAAUAAGAAUACAAAAGUUAGUGUAAGCUAAUUUGGUAAGCUAAUUAUGGAUUGAAAAUUUAGAAUUCUCACAACCUUUAUUGAGCUAAUUUAGUAAAAUUGCAUUCACAUUAAGUUCGAGUUUGAGAAAAUGUCUACAAUCCAAUAAGAAUACAAAAGUUAGUGGCUAUUUGCCUCGUGCAUCCUCCAUUCAUAUGCACGUUUUAUAAAAGAAAUUAUGAAGUUACAACUGAUAUUCAUAUUUUCAAAUCUAUCGAACUAAUGGUAAAGCAGCCAAAAGCUACUUUCAUACUAAUUUCAUGUUUGAAUGUCUACACUCCAAUAAGAAUACAAAAUUGAACCUAGGCUAUUUGCCUCAUAUUUUCUGCAUUUUAUGCACGUUAUGUGUAUUAUUUCUAUGACUAAUAUUUGAGAAAUAUAUUUUUUCACAUGCAAUUGAUUUGAACUUCACGUGAGGAUAUUUCUAUUAAUCGCUAAGGUAUGUGAUAUAAAUAUUGGUGCGUAAGAACAUUUAUUUUAAUUUAGCUACGUCUAAUAGAAAUAUGGGCUCCAUAAUUUUUGUCCGAUAAUUUAUUUUGGUAGAAAAUAUACACAUUUAUUUGGGAAACACUAUUUUAUUUUUCUUAUUGCCAAUUUGGAAAUUUGAAUGCAAGCAAGUUCAGUCACUGAAUAUUCGCCUCUCUAGGACCAUGAUAACGCUACAACCUUACGCUUAAAACAAAGAUGAUAAAAAGCUUAAAUAUGAAAAUGAAAAAAAAAAAAACUUAAACAACAAAGGUGUACGAUUUCAUUAUUUGACAGAGAAAGUCAGACCUAACAUUUCUGCUUUUAAGCGAUAAUAUAUUGUUAAAACGAAUCCGAUCAUUUUCUCAUGGUAGCUUCGAAGAAGACGUAUUACUACUAGUCCCCUCCUUAGACGACGGAGCCGAACCUCCUCCUCCUCCACCAUCCGCCGGAGGAACUUGUUGGGAAGAUCCGGCGGAUGGAUCCGACCCGAAAGCUAUAGCGGAUGGAGAUACCGUGUACUGCUGAACCACGGCGCGGUAAUUGGCUAGAUCGGUGGUGAUUACUAUCGCUGGUGUAUUACGUGAGGCUCCUGAUCUUUUACGGCCUGUUUCUUGACUCGGACGUGAGUUCAUUUUGUUGUGUGUCUGUGAGAGUUUGUAAGAAAGAAAAGUGCAUUUGCCUUCGUUACUUAUUUGUUUAUUUAUAGGUUUUAUUUUGAUUCGACUUAGCCAGACGAAGACUAUUCUAAAUCAAUCGUGACUGUUAGUUGAGUUUUACCAACAAACUAUAAGAAUUAAGUUUGGUAAUUGGUAAUUGCCUACUUUCCCAACAAGUUUACGAAAUUGAUCCAUUUCACUCUAUGUAUUCUUCUAUUAAAGUAUUACGUAUAAUAAGUCCUUCACUUUACAUAAAACGUUACAAAGCUGACGACAUAUUUUCCUGAAAGUUCUUCUAACCAAAACUAGUGUGAAUCCUGAUCCUGACGUGUGAUACAAACUACAUCAUCGAUCGUUCUCUUUUUAUUAAUCAAAAACAGCCAAUGACCAAGCUUGGUGAUAAUCAAGCCCUAAUUAGAAAAUCACACACGAUAUUAAAGGAAAACUAAUAUUGGGAUCACAAGUGUGAAACAAUACAACAACAACAACAACAACAAAAGUAUAUACCUUCUUUCACUUAUCUCUUCACUUGUUGGCAUUUUCUUCCAUGCACUCUUAUUCAUCACACUUUUUAAAUAAAAAAUUAUACAAAAAAUAACGUACUAUAUAUACAAUCACAUUGGGAGGGCCAUGAGCAGCAUGGUCCGUUAUUUCAACAAAAGAAUUGUUUCACAAAAUUAUACCCCACAUGCCUUACUUGAAUAAUAAACUACUUACCACCAAUCCAUAUAAGGAAUCCACAGAGAAUCAUGGACAAAAAGGAUGGCUAACAUAAAUAACAGACAACAAUGAACACCAGACAAUGUACAAAAGCAACUCUCUCUAGUCUGAAACCCAUUCUGUUCUCCCAUGAUUGUGUCUCAGAAGCUGUGUAUGUACAGAAGCGAUGGGAGAGGGAUUUGGGGCUAUGCAAGAAGCCUUUGUUUUAUUGGGUCUGAGUUGCGUCUUCUCUGGUUUUGCGCAGAUGCUUGCGUGAGUUUUCCUGCUCCGAUGAUGGCUUUACCUGACCGUGAUCCUAAGGAUUUUCCUGCUCAAGAAUGAAUAUUCAAAGUUUAUACUUAAAAAGACAAUAGAUCAAAGAUCAAAUGUGUUGCUUCUUAGAUGAAUGUGACUUGUUCCAUGUCUAUUCAAAGACUAUUAUCUUAAUCAUUAUAAGAAGUUUCCUAGGCCUAGAGAAAGAGAUCUGACCACUGUUUGGUAGAGAUAACCGUUCCUUUGGAUUGCUGUGAGAUCUUGGACCAGCACCAUGUCUUCUUGAGUUAACUUCAACAGCAAGGUCGUCUUUAACAAGCUUUGACCUAGCCUUGGAUACCACUGGAAUGCUUCCAGGUGAAGAAGAAUCAUUAUCAGACAGAGAUGGCCUUGUUGCCUUGCCACUCGAAACACCGGAUACAAGAGUUGAAGUGUUUGGCAUCCUGCUUGCACUUUUCAUCUGUGUUCUAUGCACAUUCUCACACUGCUCCAUACUGUUUAAGUUUGCAUCCUCUCUGAGGGUACUACUGUCAAGAAACCGAUUCUCCCAUGGACGAACAGCCAUCCAUCUCUCCAGCCAGUUCCAUCCCCAGUUGUUUUUGUCAGGUUGAAAUCCACUGUGCGUAGACAACUGCCUAGUUCCUGCUUGCCACUACAAGACAGAUUUUUUUUUUUUUUUGAAUGAAUGUUAAAUUUAUUCGAUUCAAAAACGUUGUUACAAAGAAUGCAGCUUUACUUCUAUCAGAAAUGGCUAAUAAACUGAAUUUACAAUUGAGAAAUCUGAUUAAUUUGUGUGGUAAGAAAACCAGACUGACAUUGCUCCUUCGUAUCCUUUUCUUCCGGUAUGUUGAAUUGUGGAGAUCUUAUUACGAAUGAUUUGUCAUUCAUAUGCUGCAAUCUACUGGCAGGUUGGUGAUGCUCCCCAUGCUUCCUACGGUUUCUCUCCCUCCAAACCGAGUAAGAGAAAGAAAGAUCCUUAACUAGCAUAGAGGUUGUGAGUAACCUGGUGAGUCAAAGCAUAAGCCAUAGCCCUCUCACGCUUAUCUGCACCUUCCUGCCUCUUUAUCAGCUUUGCUUGGAUUUGUUCAACUGAUCCAAUGCUAUCACACCAACCUUCCUGAUAGAUGAAAAGACAUUGUCAACACAAGUCUAUAACUCUCUCAACAAAAAAUUAAAGUGAUUAUCACCACUAUUUCUCGGACUCUGGCUUCAUCUGCUACCUGCUGCUGAAGUGUCUGCUGACCCGUUUCACAUUCCAAGGAGAGACGAACACGUCUUGCACGUACACGAGCCUAACGCUUGCAUGCACCGAAGCGUUACAGCUGCUUGUUUUCUCACAAUGUGCCCUCUAAUAAGGGCUUGAAGUCUAACCAAACCCUUCAACGCUCUUAAAGCCCUUCUAGCCUAAAAAAAUACAUCAUCCAUAGAGUAGAAAGCAAAACAAUAACAGAUUAUAGGACUUAACAAGGCUAAUAUUGAUACCAGAAAGGCUCGAAAAGCUUAUUGGAUGCGCGUUGCAGCCAUAUAUAUGAUCCUUCCUUUGUUCUUCAUAAGCUGCACUAUAUGAUUGUAGUUAAGUUGAAUUAGAGACUCCAGCCUCUAUCACACUAUGCACAGUAUUUAAAUCUUCAAGUCCAUCUUGGAACUUUUCAGCAUCAAAAUCAACUGAAUGCUUUCUCCCAAACCUGGUCUUGGUAGGAAUCUUGUUUGUGAUUUGGAGAGAAUAAGAGUAAAGAAGGAUUUUAAUUUCCUUAUUUCUUUAGGUUCUUCAUACACUUACAUACGUAGAGUUGUUGGGAUUGAUGCAUGAUCUUAUGAAGUCUUGCCAACUCUUACUUUCAAUAUUCUCUUCAUUUCUUCAUGUCAAUAUUUAGUGGUGGGAACCAAUCCUCUCAUCUACUAACUAAUGAUCUUAUGACAUAAACCACUCGACCAACUAGACUUUUCACAAAACUUCUAACGUUUCCUUUCUCAUAAAAGAGGCUGCACGCAAAUGCUAUCUUCAAAGCCUGUGCAACAAAUGAUGCUAUAGAGAAAACAUAUCAUGUAUGUGGUGGAUCAGGAUUAUACCUAACUUUAGAACUGUAAUUGAGAAAAUGUCAGUAAAACACACAUGUGUGGCUAUGGAAUCAACUACUUUAUUUUACCGAAAAACAUAGUUCUUCAAAUACAGAGAAACAUAAAACAUAUAGCGAAUGAGAAACACACAUUAAUGAUAAACAAGAAACAACAAAUAAAACUUAAACUGUUAUAGUCCGAUCCAUCGACAUACAAACACAAAUAAAAUAUUUUGAAUUAGCUGAAAUGAUAUCAGCCCAACCUUCUUUCUCUGCAGGCCGUCUGGUUUGGUUGCUUGAAUUUAUUCUUCUAGAUUCUUCGCCUUAUAUUUUAAAAGGUAUGGAAAAAGAGAAACAUCAGAUACAUUAAUCUCAGUUAUUCAUUCAUGGUGACAGUUCUACUAUAAUAUAACUUUUUAAAAUUCAGAACAUCACCUCUUCAAUGAGUUGUGGUGUCUGCGUUUGUUUGGGACAAAAGCUUUCAUGAACCACUCUGGUUUGUAGGAAACCAGUAUGUAUCCCAUCGUCAAUCCAAAGAAAACACCUGGUACAAAUCCUAUUGCAGCUGCUAUCCAACUCAGCACCUCUUCUUCAUCUUCAUCUUCAUCUGGAUCUGGCGUUUCAGAUUGUUGACAUGUUGUCGCGUGGAUACAACCACAAACUUGAUCAAGUGAAGGACCAUACAGUCCCGGGUUGUCCUCGAAAGAAGAACAAGGCUGCGUCAGAAACUGAGUUCCCCCUGGCACUAGACCUAUAAGCUGGUUAUGAGAGAAGUUCAUGUAAGCAAGGAACGAGAGGCUCCCAAGCUCUUGUGGAAUCUCUCCUGAAAGAUUGUUUUGCGAAACAUCCAGUGACUCAAGCUCUGCCAGGUUUCCCAGUGAUGAUGGGAUGUGGCCAGUGAAAGCAUUGUUUGAAAAGUUGAGCACAUGAAGCUCUUUCAAUAGACCAAUGGACCUUGGAAUCUCUCCUUCAAAUUUGUUCCCAGAGAAGUCGACUGCUGUGAAGAUUUUUAAGAUACGUUCCAGAUUCCUUUCUACACCUUUAUUAACCAUAACCACUGAAUCAGAAUAAUAAUUUGUACCCAUGUACCUCUCUGCAUAUCUAUCUUCUUUCUUUUCAAUGGAAUACAUUGCCGUCCAAUUAACGAAGAAGUCCGAUGACAAAGUUCCAUUGAAGUGAUUGUGGUUUAUGUCGAUGAUCCGUAACUUAGAAAACGGAGUUUGAUGUAUUAUUGGACCAUGAAAUGCGUUGGAGCGAAGGACAAGAACCUGUAACUCCGGCAGAGACCUCAACCAGAAAGGAAACGUGUCACUGAUUUUGUUGAUCUCCACAUUCAGAACUUGAAGAAAAUGGAUACGGAUGAAUGAUCUUGGAAGCUUUCCCACCAGACGGUUAUGACCGACGUCAAGCUACACUAGACUUUGAGACAUAUUCUCUGGAAUAUCUCCACUAAGAUGAUUUUGUCUAACAUUUAGAACUUCAAGACUUCUGCUAAAAUUUCCCAGACAGCUAGGGAAUGAGCCACUGAAUUUGUUGUUAGACAAAUCGAGAGUGGUUAGAGAGCGCAACUCACAUAUGAAACUAGGGAUCUUGCCCGUGAAAUUGUUGUUGGCGCCAGACAAGUAACUCAGAGAUGUUUUCCGGACAUAAGAUAUCCCAUGUUUCGUUGGGCUUUCAAAACCAAUCAAUGUGUUGUUGGAAGUACUCACGUAUUCAAUAAUUGGAAGCUCCCAUAACCAUCCAGGCACUUGACCUGUGAUUUUGUUGUUAGAAAUGUCUAGUGUUUUCAUGUUGCGUUGGGUUCGUAAGAGCUCCGGAAACUCGAAGAUACCGCAUCCUGACAAGUUCAACUCACCUAAUAAUGGAGGAUCUGAAACCAAGCUACUGUUCUCAGUUGAAACAUGGUUUCCCGAAAGAUCCAGUGUAUGAAGUGACUUCAAAUAUGGUAAGAUUGCAUUCAAGACAAGUGUAGUGGUGGUGUUCAAAUGGGAGAGGGAAAGAGAGUAUAGGGACUUCAGAUGCCAGAAGAUGCUAAGGUCAACAACUGAACCUUGGGUGUUGAGAUGAGAAAGAUCAAGUGUGUCAAGGUUGACCAACUUGGAGAUGGAUCGGGGGAUUGAUCCCAUGAAGUUGUUAUCGCCAAGGCUUAAAUCUUCUAUCCUAGAUGAUUCAGAUAUAUUACCAAGCUCAAGAGUGCCGUUGAGCUGGUUAUUUGACAAAUCAAUAUAAGUUAAAGAAGGAAUGGUAAAGAGAGAAGAAGAAGGGAUAGGUCCAGUAAAAGUGUUGUGUUCUACGUAAAAGAACUCCAAGUUGGAGAGUGAGCCCAUGUUAGGUGGAAGCAUGCCCGAGAAUUGAUUUCCGCUGAUUGAUAUGGAAAUCAGCUUUGUUAGAUUUAGUAGUUUAAGAGGAAAGUUACCAUGAAGGAUGUUGUUUCCAACAUCCAUGUCAGUGAGAUGAUCCGAACUGCCAAAAAAAGAUGAGAUUUCACCAACGAAAUUGUUUUGUGAGAGGUCGAGAACAGUGAGAUGUGAAAGGUUUCCAAAUGAAGAUGGAAAUUCACCAACAAAGUUGUUAGCACAAAGGAUAAGCUCAGUGAGAUUCAAAAGAUUUCCAAGUGAAGAUGGAACUUUACCAGUAAAUUUGUUUUGGGAGAGAUUAUUAAGAGUGGUGAGCUUAGAGAGGUUUCCAAGUGAAGAUGGAAUUUCACCACUGAAAUCAUUACCUGAAAGGUCAAGAGUGGUUAGCUUUGAAAGGUUUCCAAGUGAAGAUGGAAUAUUACCACUGAGCUCAUUACUUGAAAGGUCGAGAGUUGUUAAAAAAGGAAGCCUCUGAAGCAGAAAGAUAGUACUGUUGGAAUUGAACUGACCAUGGAGGCAACUGUCACUAAGGUUCAGCUUGAUCACAUCCCCGAAACUGGCAUCACAUCUGAUACCGUCCCAUGAACAACAAUCGCUGUUAUUCUCCCAUGACUUUAGACGUCGGUCAAGACAAGGCUUUUGAAUCUGGAAUUUGUUCUUGAAAUCCAGAAUCGCAUCCCUUUGGUCAGGAUGACACAAGUGUCUAGCAGGAUCCACAAACACAUCUCGAAAUAAAAAGAGAAAAGAAAUAAAAACAGAGAAGAGACUGAUUGAGUUCUCAUAGUCAUUCAUCUUCUUUACUUUCUUAUCGGUAGUUAUAAUAAAGAAAACAGUUUCAUGUUUCCAUCAGCUUGACUGACUAACGAGUCUUUCUACUAAACACGUUGAAAGUAUUUUUCAAUCUCCCCAUUUGGAAUUUCCACCAGAUUUAUACUUCCCCAGUUUAUCAUUUCUUAACAUGUCCGCAUGAUUUUGUUGACAAGUGAUCCAUAAUCAUGUAACACACUCAAUUGUGUUCUGCUAGAGACGAAUAGUCAAAGUCUAUCAAAAAUGUAUUCUCCUAGACGAAUAGUCAAACUCUAGCAGAGAUAAUCAACCUUCCCCCAUCUUCUAUAUUAAUUGAGAAGUCACUUAACUGAUGUGUACAAACAGUUACUUUAAAAUUGUUUUAACGUGUUUGGUCGAUUUUUUUUAUUUUUAUUUACUUAAAAUACAUUGCAAAACAAGUUAAAGAAAUAAACCAAAAAAGAGUUAGGCUUUUAUUGUUCACCUAACCACGCCAUCUUUCUCGAGUUCUCAUUAUGAUCCCACAAGUAGCAUGUCACUGUGGAUUGAAUCCGCUUGCAGAGCGAAACUGGCAGGCUGAAGCAAGACAUGGGGUAUGAGAGAAUGGCUGAGAGGACAAUUUGAAGCAUGACAAAUUUUUCUGCUGCAGAGAGAAAUUUGUUGGUCCAUCCCCUCGCUUUCUGCUCAAUCCGGUCUAAAAUUAAGGAGAAGAGAUCCCUCUUACGCCUCCCGAAGUGUUCGGGCAAAGCCCAAGUAUUUCUCCACACCACCUUCACUUUGGAUCUGCAACACAUCUUUAACCAUUGUUUUCAGCGAGGCUGGCGCUUUCCGGGAAAAUGAGAUAGCAGAUUUGUCUUUAUUUAUUGACUGCCCAGACACGUGUUUGUAUUUUCUCAAAAUGGACUUAAGGGCUGCACAAUUCUCCUUAUCGGCCUGGAGGAAGAACAUUGUAUCAUCCGCAAAAAAAAAGGUGAAUUAAUCGAGGACUGCCUCUAGCCACUUUCAAACUUUGAAGUAGGCCUUCUUCUUGCACUUUGUUACAUAAUCUCGAAAGAAUUUUACUACACAUAAUGAAUAUGUAGGGUGAAAGAGGAUCACCUUGACAGAUUACUCUGCUCGGUAUUAUGUUCUCUCUAGGCAAACUAUUAAUGAAGGAGUAUUUAAUAGAAGUGAUACAAUGCAUUAUGCAUCUGAUCAAGUUUUGGUGGAAUCCCAACCGGUUUAAAACUAACGUGAUAUCUCUACUUUGAUCAUGAUUACAGUAUACAAGUUAUAGGGUAAUUUAAUUUUCAUGUACCAAAAAUUUGAAAAACCUUUUUCUCUUAACCAUUUUCACAAUUAAAACUUAAACUUACAUAUUCGUACAAUUACAAACUUAAAAUUACACAACUCAAAUUUUGACUCUAGAUUACAUGACAAUUUCACCUGACGUAGACCUUAUUUAAUUUAAAAGGAGUCCCAAUCCUACAAGAGAAAUCAACAAAAUCAGACGAGAAAAAAAGAAGAAAAAGAAAACCAAAAAAGCAUACAAGUAAAAGCCAGGAACGACAUAAAAUGCGAUGCACAUAUAUUCAUAUUCCUCUGAGAGGUUUUACCCUUGAAUCUGUUCUUAUUAUAGCCACGAAAUAGCAAGAAAUGUUUCACGUUGGCAUUGAUAUGUCAUACGUGCAUGGGCAUAUUUUGCAUACGAAUCAAACCAAGGUAAUUUUUAGAUGGUGAGGUUUUCUUUGAUCACAAAGCCUGUGUCUAUAAUCCUGCCACCAAGACCUGGGAAUGUCUCGCAUCCAGGAAGAGAACUCACUUUGCCUGCCCUAUCGACUUGAACGGGAUACUUUAGAAGAUGACUUGUCAUCUCUGUGACUUCCUCUGCUGCAUACUGUCUCCAGUUAAGCUCACUCAAUCUCCUAACUCGUCUCACGCAUUCCAUGUUCUCUGGAUUUUCGAAACCUUUCUCUAGAGACCCUAGAUGUUCCGCCCACAGCGACAUUCUGUAUCCAAAGAUCUGCAAGAAAUAGGGAAAUAUGCAACAAAACCAUGUUUUAGAGGAGCAAGAUUUGUAAAUUGGUGACUGUGAUCUCAAACUUUCCUAAUUAUAAGGAAAUAUAUUCUAGGAGAUCUCAUAAUCCCCGAGAUCUCAUAAUAGACUGUGGUGGCUACUAAAGCUCCAAGCCUGUGAAGCCGAAGGAAACACUCUCUAAAACAGAUUGGUGGGUUUCUGGUUUUUAGUUAUUUGAAUGCAAACUCAGAUUGAAAUUUUAUUACCUGCCCACGAGGAUGAGAACCUUUCUUAGCCCAUGAGUGGUGUGGUUGAUAUCCUCCCAUUGCGAUUUCAGUGUCUCUAGAUCCUUCCAGGGAUCUCUCGUUGAUAUUCGCAGAACCAAUUAAGACAAACUCAUCGUCCACUAUCAUACCUUUGGAAUGAACAUAUAUCAUGAAUCUUCGACUCUUCAAAGCUUCCACCUGGUUUAUUUUGUUGUUUUAGUGAGAAAAAUGUUAUUAAAGCGAAGACUUCAACAAUCUAUAUGCAUAUACCUGUGGGCCAUCUUCUUCCUUUGUGUUGUUGUUAACGUUUCCAUCAGCAACCUCUCUGGUUCCAAGACAGAAGAAGUUCAAAUAGUCUUGUGGCUCAUACUGACCAUCAAGUUCAGCUUCCACAAGUGCCUUGUAGAUAGUUAGAUACAUCAUUUGCAUGGUUUUAUACUGCAGAAAUGAUGAAAAGAUUCCAGUGUAAAGGAUGCGAGAUUGUUAUUCAAGUCAGUUAAUAUUUAGCAAACUAAGUAUUUACCUGAUAUUGUAAAAUGCUCUGCGUAACGAUACCCGUUGGAUCACCUUCUGGCAGCAUUGGAAUGACAAUAUAAGCAGCAAAAUUUUCUCUUGCUCUAAUUUUAUUAGCAAUCUUAAGCGCAAUUUCCAUAGGGAUUAGAUUAUUAGCACCUGCAUUUCAAGAAACUCCUUGUUAUAGUAUUAUUGCACGAGUUGACUGAAUUGCCUUCAAAGCUAACAAUUUUCUUACCAACGAUUUUAUGUGAAUCCCAGUUAAAUGAUGAUCCAAAAAAAUAUUGGUUCUCAAUGUAAAUGAAAUGCUGAGCAGAUCUUAUGGCCUUAACAUAAGCCGUGUGUAUGCUCAUGUCUAUAAGUAUAUUCUUCCCACAUUGAAGAUUCUGUUGACAUCUUAAUAAUCAUCAGUAAAUAGCUACAUUGGUGGUGACUGAAGAUGACAAGUUUAAAAAUGUUCAGAAUUGUGCUUACCCUUGCACUAGCUUCCUUUGAGUCCUCUGGAAACCCUUUGACUGAGGUUGAAUCAAUGGACCGAAAAACCUAAAUAAAUAGUAAAAAAAAAAAUUAAUAAUAUGGGGACUAUUAUUAAUAUAUAGUUACUAUUUUACAAUUUUACAAUUUUUUUUGAGUUAUACAUUUUUGAAGUAUAUAUAUAUAAGAAUAAGAAGAAGGAUUUAUUUUACUGUUGAUAUACUGAUUAAAUCUAUACUAUUAUUUGCGAAGUAAAUUUUUGAAACGGAGCUCUCACGUUAAAAGUUAGAGCGGUUAAUAUCGUUUAUACCCUUAAUGAAUAUCUAUAUAAAUUAGUCAAAAAAAAAAUAAAAAAACGAAUUUCAAAUCAAUCUGAUUAAAAAAGUGAUUAAAAUUAAUAAUAAAUCGUUUAUACCCUUAAUGAAUAAAUGAUAUAAAUUAGUCAAAAAUAAAAGCAAAUUUAAAAUAUAUCUGAUUAAAUAAGUGAUUAAAAUUAAUAAUAAUAAGAACUAUCUGAAAUAUAAAUAAUUAAAAACAAAUUUCUAUUAAUACUAUUAUAUUUAUAUAUUUAUAUUUAGAUAAUUGACUAUAAAUAAAUAUCAUAAAAUUUUUAAAAAUAAAAACAUGUUUUAAAACAUAAGAUAAUUCUUAGAUAUAUUCUGUUGUUAUCUGAAAAUAAUAUUUUAUUAUAAAAUUUAUAGUUAGAAAUAAAACAAUUUAUAAUUAAAUGCUAAUUAAAUAAAUAUAUUUUCUAAAAUAUAUGUGAAUGUUUUUAGGGAAAUUGUCACAAAUAGCACAUUCAUAGUACCACUUUUCAUGUUUACACUAACCACUUUUACCAUCACUUUUGAAUGAAGGGUAAAAGACAAUUUUUCCCUUAGGGUUAACUAAUCUAGACUUAGAGCAUCUCCAACUCCACUCCAUAUUUUACUCCAAAAUAUAAAAAAUGGAAUGGGAAACGGAGUGAUGAACAAAAAAUAAAAGCAUUACUCUAUAAAUGGAGUAAUCCUUUUAUUUUUUUUGUUCAUUACUCCAUUUUCCACUCCAUUUUCUCAAUUUUGGAGUAAAAUAUGGAGUGGGGUUGGAGAUGCUCUUAGGGUUUAGAGUUGAGGGGUGGGGUAGGGUUUUUGGAGUGUGAAAUUUAGGAUUCUAAUAAAUAUAUAAAUAAAUACUUAAAAAAUAUAUAAAAAAUUUUAAAAAAUAGUUUCAAAAUAAUUUUUCGUUUUUCAAAAAGAAAUUUGAAAAAAAAUAAAAAAAAAUUAGAAAAUAAAAAUUUCAAAAAAGAAAAAUUUAUAAAAAAGCUCGAAUUUGAAAAAGUAUAAUUCGUAAACAAAUUUAUUUUUAUUUAAAUAAUUAUUUAUUAUAUAUAUAAAUAACAAGGGCAUAAGAGUUUUUUGCCACUUAAUGAAGAAUGUAUUUUUGAAAAUGUCUCUUUAGUGGUGGUAAAAAUGAAAAGUGCUACCAUGAAAGUGGUAAACAUGUAAUUUUUCCAUGUUUUUAAAAUUUAACACAACAAUAAGCAUAUUUAUAUUUUUCAUAAAAACUAAUGAAUAUAUAUUAAUAAUAUUUUAUUUAUAUGUUAUAUUUGAUAAUUGAUUAUAAGUAAAUAUAAUAAAAUUUUCAUAAAUAAAAUAUAUUUUUAAAACAUAAGAUAAUUUUUAAAUAUUUUGUUUUUUUACCUGAAAUAAUAUUUUUUACUAUAAAAUGUAAAGUUUAAUGUUUGAUUUAUCUUUUUAAAAACACAAUUAAUAAUUUAUUAUGUUGGUUUUGAUUUAAUAGUUAUAAACAGACAAAUAUCUAUAAGAACACUAUGCCCACAUGUGCGGGUAGAACACCUAGUAUUAUAUUAUUAUUAUGCGAUUAAUUGGUGUAUAUGAGAUACGUAUAGUAAAUGUGGAUGUAUUUUAGAUGUCAUAUGAGAAAAUCACAUCAAAAUAUUUUAAGUGGUUAUAAAAAUUAAUAUGAAUUGAACUGUGAAUAAGAAAAAAAACAAAUACAAUGUUUUAUUUAUAUUUAUAUUUAUAUAAAUAAUAUAUAUAUAUAUAUAUAUUAAUUAUGUUAAAAUUAGACAAUAUAUUUGCAUAAAGUUUUUUAAAAAAUUACUUUAUUUCCAGAUAACAAUACAAUAUAAAGAGUUAUCUUAUUUUUUUAAUAUGUUUUUAUGCGAAAAAUUUAUCAUAUUAAUUUAUAAUCAAUUAUCUAAUAUAACUUAUAAAUAUAAUAUGGUUAAUAUAAAUUAUUUUUAUCAUAUUAAUUUAUAAUCAAGUGUAUUAUUUGCACUUGUCUAAUUCGGAACUUGUGAAAUUUAUUAAUUUAUCGAGUAUUAAUUUAUUAAGUUAAAUUAGUUCAUUGGAAAAGAAAUUAGAUUUAUCCUUUUGCCACCACCACAUAUGGCUACAGUCCCCUCAUAUUUCUCAAUUACCUGAACAUGCCAAGACUCUGGAUCAUUAUCAUCAACAAAAGAAGCUUCUGAUAGUCCCAUGAUAUUUGGAAUUCUGUCAAUCUUAAGCAAAGCAUCCUCAGAAGACGAUCUGUGUAUCGAAAUCCUGUGCCUUUUCUCUGAAGCCUUUAGCCAACGUUGUUCAAAAUUAGCAAGCACGUCAUACGCUGCUGGACCGUCAAUCAUGCUGUGCAGAUCAUGCCACGGUUGUCUUGGUCCAUCAUCCUCAGUAGUCUAAUACGGAAAAAGAAGUUUCUUUACACUGAUCAAAAAUAGUAGCAAAACUGAACCAAACAAGAAUUGUCUUGAAUGGUUACCCCAAAACAAUUGUUAUAGAAAUCAUCUUUAUGAAGAGUCUUUAAUGUCGUAAAGAGAGGAUGCUUAGGCGUAUCAAAACGUCCUUUGCACACGUCUAUCCCUCCAACAAACGCUACGAUCUUUCUUCGACCCUGAGCUGCCUCAGCAUCUACAAUCACAGUUUUCUGAUGAUGUGUGUAGAUAGUUUGAACUUCCUGAUCAUCACAAUGAGGUUCAGAGGAUUAAACUAUACAUACAAGAGUUUAAGCAGUGAUGCAGUAAUUAUUGAGCAUCUUACAGUUUUUUUUACAAAGCUAUGAAGACCUCUUCCCCCAGAUCUAGGACAAAUAAUAACUUGCACCGACGAGUUCCUAAAAUAAUGGCGAGUCUCCUCAUCGCUUGUCUUCAUAUAUCCGCGCUGCAUACCACAAGCAAUUCGUGAAAACAACAAAAGGUUUGUGUAACAGACAUCAUGUGAGAUUGGUCUAGUGUUGUAACUUGUAGAAGACGUUAAUAUUAUAUAACCCUUUUCAUCUAUCCAGUUUCAAUCUACUAUUAUUAUAGUUUACAAGAGAUAUGAUUAAGAAAAGAUAGACUGUUAAGAGAAAAACAAUACAUAGUUAGGCACCACUUACUGUUCUGUACCCCAGAAAGCUCCAUGAAAUUGGAUCAUCCCACACCAAUAGCAACACUCUAACACCUUCUUGAGAUCUUUCUUUAAGCAAAUCCCCUAAUGUACCAUCGGUCGGAUCAUUAUUGCGACGAACCAGCCUAACCGGAUGGUAAACUGACCAACCUGUGAUAUAAAUCAAGUUCUUUGCCUGUCUAAUCGCAUCAGCCAUAUCCUCCCAGCACUUUCCAUGUAUAUACUUCAUCCCACCAUCGAGAUCUACACUCGGAAGUGUCCCGUCUUCAACAUGGGCAUCUUGAUACAGAGUAACUCUACCGCCUUUCCUCAAAGGGAAGUAUGUACCGGGAACUCCUUCGCACUCAUUACCAACACCCAUUUGGUAAAAUUUCAUCAUUUCCACUGGAGUGUAUUGAAUAGCCAAACUCAACACAGCACCCUUUUUACAUGGCUUCCCACUACUAUCAAGUAUCGGAAACAGCCCUUCGAUCGUGUUUCCUGAACAUAACUCCUCGGUUGGGAUUCCAACAUCUCCUAUGAACUUUGCUCCAAAACGGUCACUGUCUUUCACCACAAACUUUACCACCUUAGCAUGGUGAGCCACCGGUACAUAGAAAUGCUGCUUCCACACAGGAUUCUCAUCGUUGUCGACCACAAAAGUUGUGCCAAUCUUUGCACCUGCGAUAGAGACAGUCACGAAGGGAUCACUUGUACUGUUCUUCUUGUACCUCCGAAAACGAUCCAUGUUAGGAAGAUUUUUAGCUUCCUUCACCCAAACGUCUAAGUUACCAUGUAACAACACUAAUCUCAAAGAACCGUUACUUGACCCUUCCAUUGACAUGAGUCUCGGUAUAAACCGAAUGAUGCGUCAAGAAAAAGCGGAAAAAGUACUAAAUAAGAAAAAGGAUCAAAUGUCGAGCCCAACCCACAAAAGAAAAAAAUCUUUCAGCAAGACCUUUGAGAUACAGUUUCAGAACAAUCUUGAGUUCUAAGUAGACGAAUCAAGCAGUGCGCUCGUAAUAUAAGGUUUGUGUUAUCAGCCGUACAUUGUUGACCGUUCAAAUUUUAGCCAUUGACACACUUCAACCGUGGUCCAGGCUUUCAAUAAAACCUUCCUUAAAUCGUAUGGGGACAAGACAGUGAAUGCAAAUUAUCAGUAGAAACAAACUUUCGAGACUUAGAAAUACGUUGACUUGGCCGGAUAUUUGGAGUUGACCUCAAGGUCAAGAAAAUAAUCUAUACUAUUAAUUGCUAAUUGAUUUUUUUGCAAAGAAACUCUCAAUUUAAAAGUUAGAAUUAUUAAUGAAUUAUUAUAUUUAUUUAAUUUUAUAUAAUUGAUCAUAAAAUUAACUACGAUAAAAAAAUUUUUUAAAAAAAGAUGCAGCAUCAAUGGUAACUAAAUCGAACAUUAAAUUAAUACAUGCAUUAAAUUCAAAUCAAAAGAUAUUAAGACAACUUAUCUGCAUAUUUAAAAAAGAGAAAAACAAUGUAUAGGAUAAUUUUGGUCAGUUUAGGCGUUUGUUUGGUUUUCAUCAUUAAUUAUAUAAUUUAUCAUACGAAUAUAAUUAAAACCACUCAAAAAACGUUUUUAGUAAUUAUUUUGUUUGCAAAUAUUUUGAUAAUAGUUUGCACACAUGCAUUAAUCAAAUCCCUUCGUUUCUUUACAAAAAAAAUAAUUUCUUAAACUUCAUACUUUUGUAAAGCUUAUACAUACAAAAAAUCUAUACUAUUAUUUACGAAAUAAUUUUCGCAACGAAUCUCUCACGUUAAAAGUUAGAAUGGUUAAAGUCGAUGCUACCUUUAAUGAAUUAUUAUAUUUAUUUAAUUUUAUAUAAUUUAUCAUAAAAUUAACUACAAUAAAACAAAUUUCCAAAAAAAAAAGAUGCAGCAUCAAUGGUAACUAAAUCGAACAUUAAAUUAAUCCCUCUAUAUAUUAAUUGAGAAGUCACUUAAGUGAUUUCUGCUGAUGUGUCGCUCAUAGGAGAGUUCUCCAAUUAAUUGUUAUAAUUUGAUUGGUUAAUAGUUUUUAAUUUUUUUUUAUUUAAUUAAAGUUUUUAAAGAAAAACUAACCUUAGAAUUACCUAAUCUAAUAUAUGUUUCCAAAUAUACAAUUAAACAUCUUAAAUAUAGAUGAAUUAAUAUAAUUUAUUUAUAGACACAAUUAAAUAUCAUAGAUUAUAAUAUAUAAAUUGAUGAUGUACAUUUAAAUACAUAUGAUAUUACAGAAACAAUUAUAAAAACGGAUUUAAAUUUAUAUUAGUAGUGAAUACAAUAAAUCAUAGAUUCUAAAAAAACUAAUUAAUGUAAACCUAAUAAUAUUAAUUCUAAAAUGUUUCAAAUGAAAUCAAAACAGUCAAAUAUAUAAUUUUAAAAAAUUCUCAUCAUUUUCCAAUGACAAUGUGAUAUCAUAGAUAAGUUAUCACUUUUAGAAAUGAUUAAAAUAUUUUUAUAUUUUAAAACAUAAAAAUUAUAUGGUAAGUCAUUUAAAAUUAUAUUAAUCAAGAAAUUUUAUUUAAUUCAUCUACUAAUAUAAACAGAUGAAUUAAAAUUAUUAUAUGGCAAGUCACAUAAAAUUAUAUUAUAUGGUAAUUCAUCUAAAUUUAUUAUAUAGUAACUCAUUUACAUUAUAUUAAUCAAAGUAUUUUUCACAUGCUUUUCCUAGAGUAAAUACUCUAUUAAUAUAAUUCAUAUAGCUUGGAUUAUAAUAAAAUUAGCAAGAUUGUUUUGAAUAGUAAAAAAAAUAAAGGAGACAUAAAUAAAAAAAACAUGAGGGAAGAAUAAUAAAAUAUGUUUGUUGUGUUCUUGGUUCUUUAUAUUCUUAUGUAUUUAAUUUUAAUUAUUUUUCGAGAUGCAUGUAUUUUUUGUGUUACUAUAAAUGUGAACUAAUUAAUUUUAUGUGUUUUUAAAACAUUUUGAUAAAUUGAGUUAGAAAGAUCAAUAAAAAUGACAUGUUUUUCAAUUGUUAAAGUCAAAGAUAGAAAAUAUAAUGUAAUUUGCAAGUAGGAUAAAUUAUUUAAAAAUACGAGAUGUAUAUUUUGCGGUAUAAUAAACUUUUAAAAUGUACAAUAAUAAAAUUUUAACAAAUUUUAUACAAAUAAAAAUAUUUUAUUUUGAUAUAAUAUCUGAUCUCACAUUAAUAUUAAGUAUAUAUGCCUAAAAUGACAACCUUUCUUCAUUUAAAAAUUAAAAUUUAUGUUUUCUUAUUAAUUAAGUAGAUUAAAUUAAAAUAGGUAUGUUUUAAAGGAAGAAAUGGUUUGAUCAAACCAUUUAAGUUUAUGUUAAACACUAAAUAAAAAAUGAGUGAAAAAGUGUGAAUUGUGAUUUGAAAAAAUUAUAAGAGAAAUUACUUAGACUACCAUUUUCAUAAUACAAGUUUUCAUGUUUAUAUUAACCAAAUUUAUCCUAGGUUUUAAAGAGGUAAAUCAUACUAAAUAUUAAUUGAGAAGUCACUUGAGUGAUUUUUCUUAUGUAUUGUUAAAAGGUUAAGUUUUAAAAAAUAGUUAUAAUUUGAUUGGUUGUUGACAUUUAUUAGUUAUUUAUUUUAAUCAGAUCUAAAAAUAAAAGGUAACUAUAGAACUAAUUAAUAUAAAUUACCAAAUAACACAAGUAAUAUUACAAAUAAUGAUUUAUGGUAACUAACUGUAGAAUUGGAGAAAUAAUAUAUAUGUUUUAUCAACUUCUUUUUUCUUUAUCAAUUAUUUAUAUAUAAUUAAAUAAAAUAGUUUAACUUUUUUUAUUGAAAGAAAUUUAAUAGUUAUAUAUUCUUAUAUAAAAAAUAGAUUUGUAGGUAAAGAAUUGUUAGAACUUUUUAUGUUUUCUACAGUCCACACAGAAACGUUUACAAAAUAUAUUCAUAAUAAAAGCAUCCGAUCAUUGUAUUGGUCCUACACACAAAAAAACUCUUUUUUUUUAUUUCUUGAAGACUAGAGUAUCCAGGUUUUAUUAGGUGUUAAAAUAAAAUAUAAAGUAAUUCUACAACCAAUUAUCUGAAUUAGUUAUAAUAUUACUUUUCUGUAAGAGAAAUAUUAGUAAUGAUUAAGGUUAACAUUGUUGAAUUUUUUUAAAUAUCACAGAUCUUCUAAUAAUACAUAUGUUCGUUAAACGAACGCUGCCACACCGACUACAGAUCAAAAUUUAGAAGGAAAAAAGAGUAUUCAAAAAGAAAGAGAGAAGAACAGAUGACACGCGUCUCUGUUUUCAGUCGCAGAGAAGAGAGAGAAAUGAAGAACAAUGGUCGCUACUUUUUUGACGUCAGCGGUAACACCGGAAAGCUUCGCUUUUUUUGACGCUGCGUCUCUUGUUUUCAUUUCAUUUAAUCAAUGAUGAAGAAACCUAUGAACAAAUCUCAGACGCUAAUGUCGAACGCGGCGUUCGUUAAACGAACAGGGGUAUUAUAUAUUGAAAUUUUUGAUUAUCCAAGUAUUUAAAAUUAAAAAUUAAAAUUUUAAUUAUUAUUCAAAAAUUAUAACAAUGUAAAUAUAAUAUUUAUUUCUUCGUAUAAUUAAAAACUCGCAAAAUUGCGGGCAAAUAUGUAGUUCUUUUGUAUAUGUACUUUGGUUUGAUCGAUCAAAAGAUCCAGUUUGGUUCAGAUAGUAAGAUGCUCUGGUUGUUUGGUUUAGAAUUGUUCUCAUCGAAAUAGACUUAACUUCAAAUUUGACUUGGUUCGGCUCAAUAAUAUUCAAUCUGGGUUGGUUUCGUUUAAAAAACUUAAUGAAAUAUUUUUUUUUAAUAUCAGGUUUUGGGUCAAAAUAUAUAAUCCUCUUAGAUUCAAAAUUACAGAAUACUUUCUCUUUCCCUCUGUUUCUCAAAAAGUGCCAUUUUAGUUUUUUCUUUUUAGAUAAAAAGUAUCGUUUUAGAUUUUUAAUGCAGUUUUUACGUAUUUUCAUCUGAAUAUUAAUUGUAAAUUGCAUUGAUCUUAUAAAUAAAUUUAUUUAUUUCUAAUAUCAUUGGUCAAUUAGACAUAAUUAAUAUAAACAUAAAUAUAUUUCAAUCAUUUUCUUAAUAUGUGUGAAGUGUCUAAGUGAUAUUUAUAAUGAAACGGAUAGAGUAUAAUAUUAGUUUCGUUUCAAACGUUGCUAUUGAAUGGUCUUUUAUUUUUUUAUUUUUUUUUAUCGACUUGCUAUUGAAUGGCCUCUAAGCUUUGCUUAUGGUGUUUUUCCAGCUGAAUCAACGACACUUGUGUAGGAUAUUAUUUAUUUUUAGAGAUUUUUGGAUGUCUGAUAAAGAUAUUUUCAAAAUAGUAAAAUUUCCAUAUAUUUCAUAUAAUAUCAUAGAUAACAGUAUUACAUAUUUAUAUAUCAUUAAAUUUGUAUGACAAUCGGUUGACAUAAAAAAAAAAAAUUUGUAUGACAAUCUCGAAGAACUUUCAACUCACAACUAGUCCACCACCUAAAUAACAGUCAUAAGAGAUAUAUUUUUAUAUAUAUACAGUUUAAAUCAUGUUUCAGACAUUAGAGCAUCUCCAAAAAGGAACUCUAUUUUGAAGUUUCCAAAACUCUAUAUUUGAAGUUUAAAGGUGUUCUUCUCCAAAAACAAAAUUUUAAACUCAACUUCAAAACUAUUUAUAUUUUAUAAUAUGGUCCUUAUAUUUGUCAUAACUAAUUUAAAUUCAUAUAACUUUUGUAAAUAACUAGCACAUAUAUAAACAUAUUACAACAAUAUUAAUUAAUAAAAUAUUCUAUUAAAUAUAAAAAUUAAAUAAAAUAACUUAAUUAAUAUUAAACUUCAAACAAAAUAUCAUAUUAUUUCAUAAAAUGAUUUUCGUAAUGCAUAUAUGAUCUAUUAGUGCAUUUCGAAGUAAAAAAGACUCUCCUUAUUUUUAAUUUGUAGAUUAAGAGGUAAAAGUUGUUGAAAUCAGGUAAUAUUGAUACUUGUAAAUACAUUAUAUUGGAACAAGAAAGUAAAAUAAAAACAUAAAGUAUUGCUAAAAAACUAAUUUCUUUCGAUGAUAUUAAUACUUGUGAAUAUAUUCGAUACGAACAAGAAAGAAUUGUACGAAAAAACAUCAAAAACAACAACAACAACCACUACAAGAAAACACAAGUUUUACGAGGGCAGUUUUCCUCGCUAGUUCGUCGUAAAAGCAGUGUUACGACGAAUUAGCGAGGAAACCCGUUUCGUCGUUAUAUGUUUGUCGUAACGCAUAUAUCCUCGCUAAAUCGUCGUAAGUUAGCGAGGAAAUAAUUUCGUCGUAAAAGCGAAGGAAGAUAUUUCGUCGUAAAGACCACGUAAAGAUUCCUCGUAAGGACGUCGCUAAUUUUCCUCGUAAAGACCACGUAAAGAUUCCUCGUAAGGACGUCGCUAACAUUCCUCGUAAUUACCACGAAAAUCUUUCCUCGUAAGACACACGUAAAUAAAUACUCGUAAAAUUGACGUAAAUACCUUGAAAGCUUUCCACGUAAAGAAAACGUAAAAACCUUGAUAGAUUUCCAAAUGUUUCCUCGUAAAAACCACGUUAAGCUUCCACGUAAAGAAGCCGCAAAAUUAGCUACGAAUUUACUUCGUUUCAUUAUUUUAUAGAAAUAUAAAAAAUUAUAAUUAUAAAUAUAAUUUAAAUUAUUUAAAUUAUUAAUGAAAUUAAAAUUCUAAAAAAAUCAAAACCAAAAUAUUUUAUAUAUAAAUAAGUUUUGAAUUUCAUAAUACAAGAACCAAAAUUAAAAAGAACUUGGGUGGUCGUUAAUUAAUCGCCUCGUAGAAUUCAUCACUCCUCGCCUGAACAUCCGCCUCGGCAUGUGAGUCGUCGGUCGGUGACUGGCCUGGGAUAGGAUUUUCUUGUCGCAUGGUCCUCAACAAAGUCGCCCAUUCCGGAUUUGUGGCCGCUACAACGUCCAAGAAGCCCUCGAGUCCACCCAUACGAGAUCGCAGCUGAGUAGAAUCUCUACGCAGCUGAGUAGACUCUCUACGCAGCUCUUCGGACUCCCUACGCAGCUGAGCGACUUCAUCAUCCCGUCGCUGAACAUAAGACGAUGUCGCUAUCGGAACAUCGUUGACGGAACCAAUCCCCAACGUCCGUCCCUUUUUUUUAGGGACAACCUUAAAAACAAAAAAUAAAUUUUGUUAGUAAAAAUUUAAAGUUAAAUUAAAUGAAUAUUUAAAAAAAUUAAAAUUUUAGAAAAUUUACCUCCUCGUAAAGCUUAUCCACUUCAGGUGUGGAUAAGGUGACGGGUAAUCCAUCGGUGGACUGUUGGGUCAGCUGGGUCUGGCGUUCUUCAACCCGAGCAGCCAAAUCGUUGUAGAUUUGUUCGGACUUGCCAUCUAUAAAUCGGCCCGCCUUGUUCUUGUGGGUCCUCUCGUAAAGUUGCAUAAGAGACGGGAAUUCUCCCGUCUCUUUGGCCUAAAAAAACAUUUAAGAAAGUUGUUAAUUAGAAUAUAUAUAUAAAAAUAUACUAAAAAUUUAAUAUAAUUAAAUUUUUAAUUACCAUUUCCAAACGGACACCAGCGUGGGGUUUUUGGCCCGUAGUGUGAAGCAUCGGCCCGUUCCCGUGCUCAUCGACUGUGUUACGGGAGUUAGAGCAAGACUGGGCGAUUCUAAUGGAAUCAGGAAGACGCCAAUAUCGGAUGAGGCCAUCCCAGACAUCCGUGGUGAGCUCAGCGGGUUUGCCACGCUCAUACCCCUUCACGAUCCAGUCACCCUUCCAGUUGGAGACCGUGUCCAACAAGCGAACUUUCGCCUUCGCUUCAAACUUCUUCCUCACCCUCUCAGUGAUCCCGAAGGCCCAAUUAUAUUUUUGCUGUUGGAAAAAAUAAUUUAUAAUUAGUUUUUCAGAAAAAAAUAUAUAUAUAAAUAAUUAAAAAAUUUAAAGAUAUAUAUUUAAUUAAUAGAACUUACAGCGUAAAUUUUGAACCACGUCUUUCUGACGUAGUGGGGCGUCAUUUUCCAGUUCGGAUGUGCCAUGGAGAAGUAACCUUUUAUCGUGUCGGUUACGUCCGAUGCAAGACAUCCGUCAAUCCCCCACCUGAAAAAUACAAAUUUAAAAUAUAAAUUAUUUUUUAAAGUUAUAAAAUAAUUUAAAAAGAAUAAAAAAAUAAUGAAACAUACCAUAAAGUUCCGUCCGGUCGGUCGGGGUCGAUGACUGGUAAACCUUCUCUGCCUGGCAGACGGAGAAUGUCCUCUACGGUGUACUGCGAGUAAGGAGCACUCGGAGGCACCAUCAAAUCGGGAUGAAUCUCGGCCGCGGGCAUCGGAGGUGCCGGCAUCGUAGGAGGCACAGGAGGAGGAGGCAUCUGGGGAGGCACGUGAAGAACCGAUGGUGCACUAGAAGAAGGAGAUCCAAUGACUCUCUGAGUGUACUGAGUCUCGGGGACAGUCUCCUGACCCAAAGAACCGGGAGCUGAAGAAGACGACGGGUCUAAACGACUACCCGGCUCUCCGAACAUCUCUCUGUAAUGGGCAGUAAGUCUACCUUUUCGAACCUGAGAAAAAAAUUUAAUUUUUAAAAUUUUCGUAAACAUAUCUAAAUUCCCUAUACUAAAUAACAUAAGAUCCGUAAACCUAUCUAAAUUCCCUAUACUAACCACCUAAUCUAUCCUAAACUAAUCAAACUAGAGAGGAAUUAGGGAGACUUACCAUUGCUACGAAUUAGGGAGGAAGUGGAGAGGAAGUGGAGAGGAAAGACGGAGCGAGCUCGCUCGGGAUAUAUAUAAGAUUACUUGUCCUCGUAAUUUCCUCGUAAACUUACGAGGAAUUACAGAGGCCCGCGUUUUCAGUUACGACGAAAUAGCGACGAAAUACAAAGGCCCGCGUUUUCGUUAACGACGUUUUUACGACGAAUUAGGUUACGUGGAAUUAACGAGUUAACCAGUUACGAGGAAUUAGCGAGCCUAUAUUUUCUAUAAAUACCCACAACUUUCCUUCUCAAACCACACACAAACUCACAAAACACACCCUAUCUCAAAUCACACUCCUCACCAAAAUACUUUUCAAAUUAGAAAUAUUUGAAAAAAAAAAGAAGAAAAGAAGAUAUUAGAAUUUAUGUGGAUGAGACUUAAGUCUCGCCACAUAUAAUUCCAGUAUCUUUCUUUUUUUCUUUUUUACUAGUUUUUAUACUAUGAGGAAGUAGCUAGUCCCGCUUUUCACCAAAUUAGAAAUAUUUGGAAAAAAAGAAAGAGAAGAAGAUAUUAGAAUUUAUGUGGGCGAGACUUAAAUAUUAUAAUUGCUGGAAGUCUUGCUACAUGUAAAUCUGGUGUCUCUCUUCUUUUCCUUUUUUUUCUAGUUUUUAUUCUACGAGGUUUUUACGACGAUUUUUGUUACGAGGUGUUUACGACGAAAUCAUCCUACGUGGAAUUAAAGAGUGCCUCCUUCGUCAUUUACUUUACGUGGUAUUUACGUCUAUUUACCUUACGAGGUCUUUACGACGAUUCCGUCCUACGUGGAAUUAACGGGUUUCGCUUUCUUUAUUUUUUUUAGUUUCGUCGUUAUUUCCACGUAAGAUAACGAGGUCUUUACGACGAUUCUGUCCUACGUGGAAUAAACGAGGAUUACGUCGUACAUUCGACGUCAACUUACGAGGAAUUAACGAGUAUUACGUUUAAUCCCUAAAAUCCGAAACCCCAAACCCCAAAACCCCAUAUUCCUUAUCUUCUACUUCAUAUAUUCCAAACCCCAUCUUUAUUUUCAUUCCAAACCACAAUUCCCACAUUUACUUAUUUAUAAAACAAACUCCCACAAUUUCUUAUUCAUAAAACAAACUCCCACAUUACCUUAUUCAUAAAACAAACUCUCACAUUACCUUAUUCAUAAAACAAACUACACAAAAUCAAAUACAUCAAUCGGAUACAUCGACAUUCUCGUCAUCACUAGAAAUAUCAUCAUUUUCAUUAAACUCGUCUUCUACAGCUUCGUCUGUGGCAUCAUCGGUAAGAUCUUCGUAUUCGUGAUUAUGCGGAUCAAUGAGAAGGAUGUCAUCAACUUCUUGUUCAGGUUCCUCGACUUCAUUUAUCUGUUCUUCUUGCAAUGGUGGUUCUUCUCCACUGAUGAUUCGUCCUCGAGGUGUAACUUUGAUCACUGCUAACCAAUUUAUACCCGAAUCUCUCAUCCGAGGGUAUGGAAGGAAGCUAACUUGGUCUGCUUGUGAAGCUAAGAUGAAAGGCUCGAAUUUGUUGUACCGACGUCCACCGUUGACAUCAACUACACCAAAUUUGUUAGACCGAACACCUCUGUUGACGACGGGGUCGAACCAUUCACAUUUGAAGAUGACGCAUUUCAGCUUCAGUAUCCCUGGAAAUUCGACUUCAAUAAUCUCCGUCAAGAUCCCGUAGAAAUCUGUUUCCCCUUUCACACAUAUUCCAUAGUUACUGGUCGCCCGCUGUCUACCAUACUCAUAUGUGUGAAAAGUGUAGCCUCGUGUGAAAUACAUCUGUGAUGUGGUGACCUUUACAAGUGGAGAUUGAAUUACUUCGUGUAACCACUUAGGAUAAUCUGCAUCGUCGUCAUAAUCAACCUGCAAAAAUAAAGAGAACAUUAAAAUACAAAUCAUGUAUGAAAAAAUAGUUUGAGUUAUAAUACCUGAUUCCGCAACCACUUAAUGAAGUGCUGAUCUUUCCUUUUGUCUACGUCACUUGUGGAUAUACCAGGAAAUGUUUCUUCGACUUGAGAAACAAAUAGGCUGUAAAAUUAAUCACAUUUCAUAGGAAUGAAUCUCUUGCAAUUAUAUAAUUAAUUAUAUGUGUUUUGAAGUGUCCAUAUAUGUUACCUUUCAAAAUAACGCAUCAAUGGAUCCUCGCAAUUGAGUAGAAUAUAGGUGUGUGCACUAUGAGCGUCUUGUUCACUCGACCACCAAACCUCUUUAGACUUCCCACCGAGUCGUCCAAUCUGGCUAAAGAUGUCUGGAACACCAGCAACUGCAUAUGUUGGCGCAACUCCACCAUCAUCAUAUCUUCUUGGAGCUCUUCUACGGGUACGUACUUUUGACGCAAAGUAGUACGAUGUGAAGUGAGAAACUUCUUCCGUCAAACUUCCAGCAAUUAUAGAACCUUCAACUUUGGCGAGGUUCUUUGCUUUUCCCUUCAAAUAUUUCAUGGCUCGCUCAUACUGAUACAUCCAUCCGUAAUGUACAGGUCCACGAAGCAAUGCUUCAUAUGGGAGGUGGACAGCUAGAUGCUCCAUGACGUCAAAAAAUCCAGGAGGAAAUAUCUUCUCCAAGUUGCACAAUAAGAUGGGAAUGUUCUCCUGAAGCUGUUCUACAACUUCUUCUUUAAGAGUGCGUGUGCUCAGAUCCCUGAAAAAUGCUCCAAUGCCUUUUAUAUUCCAAAAACAAUUAAACACAUUGUUAGUCGUAUAUUAUUUUGCAAACUAGACCGUUAUAAAAUUAUUGUGAUAUAAAACACUACGAACCUGCAAGUGCUUCAUGUACGUUUGUUGGAAGUAGCUCCGCAAAUGCAAAGGGCAGUAGUCGUUGCAUAAAGACAUGACAAUCAUGACUCUUCAUCCCAGAGAACUUUUGACCCUUUUCAACACAUCUAGAGAGAUUUGAAACAUACCCAUCGGGGAACUUCACUUCUGAUGCCACCCAGUUGAACAACACCGACUUUUUUUCUGAAGACAGUCUGAAUAUCGGAACGGGAACUUGUCCAUUGCUUUUAAUAUGUAACUCGCUUCUUGAGCAAAUAUCCGGCAAGUCCAACCUCGAUUUUAUGUUGUCUUUUGUCUUCCCUGGGACAUUCAAUAUUGUAUUCAUGAUGUUCUCAAAGAAAUUCUUCUCUAUAUGCAUCACAUCGAGGUUGUGGCGCAGAAGAAGAUCCUUCCAAUAUGGCAACUCCCAAAAUAUACUCUUCUUGUGCCAGUUGUGAUGAACACCGUAAGAAUCAGGCAUAUUACGAGGGACAUGCCAAUUACCACCCCAACGAACUGUUUCGUUAGCUCCGUAGUAGUCGAUUUGUGCUUCAAUUUGUUCUCCAGUUAGAUAUGGUGGAGAAGUGUCUCUCACAACCCUUUUGUGCCUAAACAAAUUCUUGUUUCUUCGGUAAGGAUGGCCAAUGGGAAGAAAUCGACGAUGACAAUCAAACCAACUUGUCUUCCUACCAUUCUUCAGUUGAAACGCAUCUGUCGUUCCAUUACAAUAUGGACAAGCUAAUCUCCCAUGUGUAGUCCAUCCAGACAACAUCCCAUAUGCAGGAAAGUCACUUAUGGUCCACAAAAGCAUAGCUCGCAUCGUAAAAUUCGUCUUCGUUGAACAGUCAUACGUCCUCACCCCUGUUGACCACAAAUCCUUCAACUCUUUUAUCAGUGGUUGUAGGAAAACAUCCAGGGACCUUUUUGGAUGGUUCGGACCAGGUAUCAAUAUCGUCAAGAAUAGCAACUCCCGUUGCAUGCACAUCUCCGGUGGCAGGUUGUAUGGCGUAAGAAAGACUGGCCACAAUGAAUAUUGUCUCCCUGACAUUCCGAACGGACUAAAUCCAUCUGUGCAUAAUCCGAGAUACACAUUCCGGCUAUUGCUAGCAAAAUCCGGAUGUACUUUGUUGAAAUGUUUCCAGGCUCUUGCAUCUGAUGGAUGAGUCAUCUCACCAUCCGUCUGAGUAUGCUCGGCAUGCCAUCUCAUCUUUGCAGCAGUCUGCUCUGAUUGAUACAAUCUUUUCAAUCUGUCUGUAAUUGGUAGGUACCACAUCCUUUGGUACGGUACCCUAUUACGUCCCCGUCCUUGCGGCUUGAAUCGUGGCUUCUUGCAGAAUCGACAUACUUCUAGCUUCUCAUCAUCUCCCCAAUAGAUCAUGCAGUUGUCGAUGCAGACAUCUAUCAUCUCCGAAGGCAACCCAAGACUAUAAACUAAUUUCUGAAUCUCAUAAUAAGAAUCAGCAGACACAUUGUCUUCCGGCAAAUACUCUUUAAACAAGUCCGCCCAUUCGUUCAUGCAACUUUCAGGUAGAUUGUGAUCAGUUUUAAUAUUCAUCAUUCUAGCAGCCAACGACAAUUUAGAGAGACCUUCUCUACAACCACUGUAAAGUGGUUGAUUCGCCGCGUUUAACAUUCCGUAAAACUUUUUUGCAUCUAUAUUAGGUUCUUCAUCUUCAUCAUGAGCUACGAAUGCAUCAGCUACCAUAUCAUGAACCCUAUCAUAAUCUACCAUCUCCUCCUGAUGGUAACUAUGUUCAUUAUGCAAAUGAUGAUUAACCGGUUCUUCCUGAAAAUUGCUAUUACUACUACUAGCUUCAUUCUGAUCAUAAUUAUAACCUUCCCCAUGUUGAAACCAGAUAUAGUAAUUUGGCGUGAAACCUCUAUUUAUUAAAUGCUUCCAAACAUUUUCACGGUUUGCCAAUUUCGAAUUGUUGCAUUUCCGACAAGGACAGAACAUCUUACCACUUUCUUGGGCGAGCGGUGUUGAAUCUGCUUGGUGCAUAAAUGUCUCCAGCCCCGCAAGGUAUUCUUUCGUCACUCUCCCGUUAGCAUCUCUAUGCAUAUACAUCCAAUUCCGCAACUCGUAAAUAGUCCCAGAGCCAGCCAUUUUUUUUUCUUUCACGUUUUUUGUUGUUGGUGUGUUUAAAAUGAUGUUCCAACAUCCAUAUUUAUAGAAAAUUUCGAAUCUGGUAGUUGUAAUUUUACUAUGAAAUUACGACGAAAAUUAAUUGUAUGGCCAAAAAAAAAACGUGAGCCACCUACCAAGUUGGUGGAUUCAAAAUUUCCUCGUUAAGUACACGUAAAAUAUUUCGUCGUAAAGCACUCGCGAAAUUUACGUGGCUUUUACGAGGAAAAACUAUUUCCUCGUAAAAGCCACGUCAAUUUACAUCGUCUUUACGACGAAUUUUUUUUGUCGUUACCUUACGACGAAAUAACGAUGCUUUUCUUUCGCAACGUAAUUUCCUCGCAAAAUCAACGUUUUUUUACGAGGAUUAUUUUUCCUCGUUAAACUUCCUCGGUAAAGAUACGUUUUCUUGUAGUGAACCAUCUUUAGUUACAAAAAAAAUUUGGACAAUAUUUGAAAAUUUAAAUGUUCCGGAUCAAACUUACAUGACUAUUAAUAUUGUUGUAAUAUUUAAAUUUGUGUAAUAGAGUUAUGUCUUCAUGUAAUUUUUUAAAAUCUUUUUGUUAAGUUUUUUUUGUAUAUUAUUGUUGUCUAAAUUUAGCUUUAAAUAUUUUAAAUUUUAUUUUAAAGUUUUAUUUAAUUUUAUAUGUAAAAUUGAAAAUAUUUAUGAGAUAUAAUCUUUAUAAGGAUUAAAACAAUAAACAAAAAACAUUUAUGAAUCAUAAAGGUGAUGUGUGAUUAUAGGGACCAAUAUGCAAAUAAAAAUAUGAAACUUCAAAUUUGAAGUUUUGAGUAGUGAAACUUCAAAUAUAGAGUUUCACUCCUCAAAACUUCAAAUUUGAAGUUUUGAAGUUUCUUUUUGGAGAGCAAAAAACUUCAUAUUUGAAGUUAUAGAGUGUCUUUUGGAGAUGCUCUUAGUGCAAAACUGUUAGGUGAAAGAAUAUCAGAAAGUUUGUUCCAAUUCAAUCUUUUCAUGUGUUUCAGAUCACCUUUUAGACUAGUUGCUUGAAAGACUGAAUGACCUGAUAUAUUUAAUUUUUGCAGAAUUAAUGAAACCAUUAAUAAUGUGAAGAAGCAUAGUUUAAUCAAAAGUAGAAUCUAUAAAAAAAAAUUUAUUUGAGAGUCUUUUGUUGUUUUGUAAAUUGUAAUUGGUGAGUGAACUCAAAAUGCAUAUAGAGUUGAGAAAAAACGACUGCAAUUUCACUUGAGGUUAAUGGCACCCACAAUGUGUUUUGAUUCCAUCCCCUCUUUUUUUGUAAGCUAAAUUUUGAUUACCAAUCAAAAGAUACAAAGUUAUUACAAACUGACAAAAACAAAUUAUUACAUAUGUAUAUACGUCGUAUAAGGAAUCCACAUAGAUACAUGGACAAAAAGGAUGGCUAACCAUAAAUAACAGACAACAACGAAGACAGAAAGACACCAACACGACGGUGUUCUCUUCUUGAUCAAUGUACCGAGCAACUCUCUCUCUCUCUCUCUCUCUCUCUCUCUCUCUGGUGAAACCCAUUCUGUUCUCCCAUGAUUGUGUCUCAGAAGCUGUGUAUGUACAUGAACGAUGGGAGAGGGAUUUGGACUGAUGAUUCCCAGAGACUCUAGCAGGGCUAUGCAAGCCUUUGCCUUAUUGGGUCUGAGUUGCGUCUUCUCUGAUUUUGCGCAGAUGUUUGCGUGAGUUUUCCUGCUCUGAUGGCUUUAGCUGACUGUGAUCCUAAUGAUUUUCCUGCUCAAGAGAAUAUUCACAGUUUGGACUUAAAAAGACAAUAGAUCAAAAGACAAAUCGAAAUCUUUCAAAGGACAAAUGUGUUGCGUCUUAUUAGGGUGUAACUUGUUCCAUAUCUAAUAGCUGAGGUAUUUGAUUUGAGGUUUGGACAAAGUCUCCAAUAAAACUUAGCUAUCCUAACAUCUAAAUUGUGGUCUGGUACCUUUAUGACCAAUGCAAAACUGAUUCUAUUAUCACUAUCACAAUGUUGAUAAGACUAUUCUCUUAAUGUUAAGCGUAGAGAAAGAGAUCUGACCACUGUUUGGUAGAGAUAACCGUUCCUUUGAAGAUCUUUCUUUUGGAUUGCUGUGAGAUCUUGGAACAGCACCAGGUCUUCUUGAGUUAACUUCAACAGCAAGAUCGUCUUUAGCAAGCUUUGACCUAGCCUUGGAUACCACUGGAAUGCUUGAAGAUACUCCAGGUGAAGAAGAAUCAUUAUCAGACAUAGAUGGCCCUGUUGCCUUCCCACUCGAAACACCACCGGAUACAAGAGUUGAAGUGUUUGGCAUCCUGCUUGCACUUUUCAUCUGUGUUUUAUGCACACUCUCAGACUGCUCCAUAUUGUUUAAGUUUACAUCUUCUCUGAGGUUACUACUGUCAAGAAACCGAUUCUCCCAUGGACGAACAGCCAUCCAUCUUUCCAGCCAGUUCCAUCCCCAGUUGUUUUUGUCAGGUUGAAAUGCACUGUGCGCAGACAGCUUCCUAGUUCCUGCUUGCCACUACAAUACACCAAAUUCAAAUGUAAGAGAAAGAAUGAUCCUUAACUAGGAUAGAGGUUGUUGUGAGUAAAACCUGGUGAGUCAAAGCAUAAGCCAUAGCCCUCUCACGCUUAGUUGCAGCUUCCUGCCUCUUUACCAGCUUUGUCCGGAUUUGUUCAACAGAUCCAAUGCUAUCACACCAACCUCCCUGAUAAGACAAUGUCAGCACAACCAGAACUCUCUCCAAAAAAUAAAAACAAAAAUUAAAAAGUAACAUAAAAGUUGUAUUUAGACAAGUGAUCAUCACCUCUAUUUCUUGAACUCGGGCUUCAUCUGUUACCUGCUGUUGAAGUGUCUGCUGACCCGUUUCACAUUCCAAGGAGAGACGAACACGUCUUGCACGUACACGAGCCUGGACUCUUACUAACGCUUGCAUGCACCGAAGGGUUACAGCUGCUUGUUUUCUCACAACGUGUCCUCUAACAAGGGCUUGUAGUCUAACCAAACCCUUCAACGCUCUUAAAGCCCUUCUCGCCUACAAAAAAUUGUAUCAUCCAAUUUUUCUCAGUCCAAUCAAGGCCAUAAAGAAUAGACAAUCACAGCACAACAGAUAAGAGGACUUAACAAGGCUAAAAUUGAUACCAGAAAGGCUCGAAAAGCUGUUUGGAUGCGCGUUGCAGCCAGAUGUUCCUUCCUUUGUUCUUCAUAAGCUGCACCAUAUGAUUGUAGUGAACUUGAAGUAGAGACUCCAGCAUCUAUCACACUAUGCACAUUUGAAUCUUCAAAUCCAACUUGGAACUUGUCAGCAUCAAAAUCAACUGAAUGCUUCCUCCCAAACCGGCUCUUGGUAGCAAUCUUCACCUUCAUCAGUUGAACAAACAUAUAAUGAAAACACACAAAAAAAAAAUGAAAGUUGUAACCAAUAUUUGAUAAAGAGAUUAUCUAGUCAUUUACAUUAUCAUCCUUCUUUGAAGACUUUGACUUGGUGAAACCAACCAAUGCUUUAAUCCAUCUCCCUGAAGCACCCAUUGCAUCAAUGAGAACAACAAACCUGCAAAACUGCAGCUGAAUUAUACAAAAAGAAACGAGCUUCCUAUUUUGGGUCAGAGCAGAAACAUAGAAACUCAAUUGGGUCGCUAAAUGCUUCAGACAAUGUUUUUUUGUUUGACCAAAACUUUUCGGACAAUGUUUUUUUUUGUUUGACCAAAACUCUUCAGACAAUGUUUGGAAUCCCAGAGGAACACUAAAUCAAACAGCUGUCUAAAGCAAAAGAAUAAGCAAAAUUUGCAAUAAAACUUUCAAAUUGAGAGAGAGAGAGAGAGAGAGAGAGAGAGAGAGAGAGAGAGAGAGAGAGAGAGAGAGAGACUUUACCGGCGGAGACGGAAAGAUCAGCCAAUGAGAUCUCGGAGGAGGGUGUGAAAGUGAGUGAUCUUCAGUCACUGACCGUCUUCCUUGCCUACUUUCUCUCUCUCUCUUGAAACAGACUCAUUAUUUGCUCUUUCUCUCUCUAGAUUUGGGUGAAGAAUUAUUACAGAUAGGAAUUGACUUGCUUAAAAAAAUUUGAUUUUUUCUUUUAUCGUUUCGUUUCCCUCUCCUCAGAUACGAAUGAGUGAAUGAUUGGAUAGAUUGCACGCCGUCAGGGUUGCUAAAUUUGCGCCGUGUGACCUGCACAUGCUGAACUUGACAGCGUUUUGUUGAGCUUUAAAACGGCAAGCUGUUUAGAUUCCGUUAUCUCUCAUAUAUUGCAAAAAUAAUUAAUGAAGGAACCAAUAGAUUUAAAUUAUUUAUUUAGUUUAAAAGUAGCUUUUAAGUUUUUCAAUUGUUUAGUAUUGUUGAACCAAAGGUUCUACUAAAUGUUUAAUGAGUUAACCGGAGACAAAACCAUGUUAAAAAUCUCGUUUUUUUUUUUUUUUUGCUAAGCUGUAAAUAUCAUAUAUGAAGAUAGAUUCUACAAAAAGUAUUAUCUUGGUUCUGAACCAUUUUGGCAAAAAAGAGAAAAACAAGAUGGGUCAACAUUUUAAACUAGAGACUAAGGAUUUAUCGAAGCCAUAUAGCCAUAAGAUCUCUGAAUUUCUUAUACUUCCUUCUAGCGGAGAUAACGUUUCUCAGCUCUUUGUCAAUGCUCCUGAAGACCGCGAUCGCCGGGAAAGAGAUCUGGUUAUGGAUUAAGUUAUUCCGCUGCUUCCACAGAUGAAACACCACUGUUUGAGUUGCUAAUUUCCUAAGCAGAGAUAGUCUCUUAGAGUUAGGGACUUGGAUCCAAGAGAGUAGCUCUGCCCAGUCCGUGAGUGGAGAGGUAGGAGGAUGGCAUCUGCUGAAGACGUAGCUCCAGACGUCGAGACUGUAUUCGCAAGACAGAAACAAGUGCUCCCUCAUUUCUGGUUCUCUUGAACAGAAGGAGCAGAGGGGUGAUAACGGGAGACCCCACGAAGUAAGCCGGGCCUUUGUUGGCAACCUGUCAUAGUUAGCUGUCCACAUUGUAAAGGCAUGCUUCGGUAUUGAUCCUUUGAACCAGACCACGUCAUGCCAGUCUUGAAUCUCCUGCUUUGGCCUCAGGGCUUCCCAUGUGGUAAAGGCUCUGAAAACAUUAGAAGGAGAGUCACCAACAAUCCAUUCAUAUUCGUCAUCAAUAUCAUGAGAUAGAGGAAGAGUUAUAGUAGUGAGAUGAGAGUGUAGAUCAACUUCCUGUUGAGAUCGGGGGUGAGGUAGAGACCAUGUUGAGUCCCUAGCAACAUCCGCUACCACCGCCUCGUUUCUGACUCUUAGAGCCCUUGGACCGAGAGGCCCCAAGUAAGUGAUCAGUUGACCCAAUGGCGUCCAAGCGUCAAACCAGAAACUGGUUGUUCGACCAUUUCCAAGUACAGAUUUGCAGAAUCUAAUAGCUAGGGUUCUGAGCUUAAGCAAUCUCUUCCAUGCCCAGGAGUCCGCUUGAACAGGUUCGAUGGCCCAAAAAGACUGAGUAGAUAGGUGGAUGCUGCGGUGCCAAACAGCCCAGAGCGAAGGGGACUUAGAGACCAGUAUCCAAAUGAAUUUUAGGCAUAGGGUUUGGUUCCAGACCGCGAGAUUUCGAAGCCCCAAUCCACCUUCUUGCUUAGGUAAACAGACAGUGGUUCAUGCUACCUUGGCGAUGCCUCUCUUAUCAACGUUACCAGACCACAAGAAUCGACAACAAAGUGAUUCAAUGUUCUUAAUACACCCCUUAGGAAGCAUAAACGCCGAAAACCAGAAGUUGAUGAUACCAAAUAUAACAGUCUUCAAGAGCUGCAAUCUACCCGCAAAAGAGAGGAGUUUAACGGACCACGCUUGGAAACACUUAGUGAUCUUGGUCAUCAGCGGAACAUAUUCAGAAAUUUUAAGUUUGCGGGACAUCAGCGGGAGUCCAAGAUAUCGAAUGGGAAAGGAGCCAGAUGGGAAUCCAUACCCCAUUAGAGCUGAGGAUUCAGUUUGGUCCAGACCCGCAGUGAAGAGUUCCGUCUUGGUGGCGUUCAUAGACAAUCCCGACCAGGAGGCAAAGUCAUCCAAACAUUCAGCUAUGCCAUGAAGACUAUUACUGCUACCGUCAAAGAAGAUCAUAACAUCAUCCGCAAACAUGAGGUGGGAGAUCGCCACAUUCUCUGUUCUCGGGUGGUACCUAUAAUGCCUGUCUCAAAUCUAGAAGCAAGAAGGCUUGAGAGGCAUUCCAUAGUGAGUACGAAGAGAUAAGGAGACAUAGGAUCUCCCUGCCUAAUUCCUUUAGAGCUAUUGAAGAAACCACCUAAGGCACCGUUUAUAGAGACAGAGAACGAUGUAGUGGAGAGACAUUCCGAGACCAAUCUGAUGUAGCUUUCAGGGAUCGCCAGUGCCCACAGAGACGCCAGAAUGAAGUCCCAUCUCACACAAUCGAACGCUUUCCUCAGAUCAACUUUUAGCAUUCCACGCGAGGAGAUGUUCUGAGUAUUAUAGCCAUGAACCAGAUCAGUGGCAAGCAACACAUUUUCUGCCAAAAGCCGCCCAGGAAGAAAAGCUGAUUGCGACUUGGAAACCAUCAGGGGCAAUAUUUCUUUGAGACGCGAGGCAAGCAGCUUCGAGAUUACCUUGUAGACUGUAUUUAAGCACGAGAUAGGCCUGAAUUCUGAGGGGUGAGACGCGUUUGGGAUCUUGGGGAUGAGGGCAAGAGAGGCCGAGUUCCACUGCUUGAGCAGGCAGCCAGAUUCUAAGAAUUCUAAAAUGGCUUCAGUCACCUCCGGUCCAAUUAUCUCCCACGUAGAUAUGAAUAAUUCUGAGGAGUAUCCGUCUGGCCCGCCAGUUUUGUUUCUAGGCAGAGAAAAGAAAGCAUCUUUUAUAUCUGCUGGAGUAAACUUUUUUUCGAAUUAUGCGGUCUGCUCCUCAGAGCAUUUGAAAUUGAAGAGGAGGUCGAGGUCGCUUUGAACAAACAUUGGCUGAGAUGUUUCACUCCCCAGAAGGCUGGAGAAGUAAUCAACGCAAAGCUGCUGAAUACCCUCCUGAGACUCAGUACGCUGGCCAGUAUCAGUAUACAAAAAGUGGAUAUGGUUAAUGGCUUGCCUGGUCGCCGUGUAUCUGUGAAACAGCCUUGAGUUUCCAUCACCAAAAGCUAGCCAAUUAAUCCGUGAUCUCUGGAAAAAAAAACCCCGCUUCAGCAGCGGACAGUUCUUCCCAUUCCUUUAGUGCUUGGAACUCAGCAGAUGCAUUUGACGUUGAGGGAGCAGAAAGCAUAGCUGCUUGCGCCUGGGUAAGCUUCUCAUGGGCUUCUGCCGUUUUCCUCUCAAUACCCGAGUAGUUGAGCCAGCUGAAGUCUUUAAUGCAUUUCUUUAGCAGCUUAAGCUUCCUGGAGAGUCUAAACAUAGCUGAGCCGGUGACAUUGAAUAAGUACCAGUUCAUACAAAUCAUUUCUUUAAACCCUGGAGAGUUGAUAAGGAAGUUGAAGAAUCUGAAUGGCUUCUUAGCUCUAACUCGGCUCGGGUCCAGGGAGAUAGAGAUGACAGCAUGAUCAGAGAAUUCAGGACUACCGAAAAACGCAACCGAGGACGGAAAUUGAAAGUACCAGUCGUCGUUCACAAGACAUCUGUCCAGCUUUUUGGCAAUAGGUGAGUUCUUCUGUUUGUUCCACCAUGUAAAAGAAGUGCCUCUGAAGUUAAGGUCAUCUACAUUCGCGUUCAGCAAGCAUUGAUUGAAGUCCCUCAUUCUCUUAUCCAAGUUCAAUGAUUUUGGCUUUGAGUGCUCCGCAGGUUCUCUAACUUGGUUGAAAUCACCGAGGAUCAUCCAGGGCUUAGAAUCCAAGACCUGCAAGGAAGCUAAAGAAGAGAUCUCGGCCCAAAAGAUAGCCCUCUCAUCAACAUCAUUAAAAGCAUAUAUGACAGAGAUAAUUAGAUUAGACUGAGAGUGGGGCCAAGUUAUCUCUACAGUGAUCAUCUGUAGAGAUUUGGAAACAACCUUAACAAAAAGAGAUGGAUGCCAAAUGAUCCAAAUUUUAUCCAAAUGCGAGAAGUCGUAGUUGUGAUCAGCAGACCAGUCCGGGAAAAUAUCCGAAACAAAUUUAUUCAACUUAGGCUGCUUCACAUGCGUCUCAAGCAAAGCGCCAAAAAGAGGAGAGUUCUUCCUAAACCAUUUACGUAAUCCGCUGCGGUGACUGUAUUUAUUUAAACCGCGUAUGUUCCAGCAAAAAAGGUCUGACGACAUAAUUUAAUGUAGUUUGGGGCCCUUGCCCCGCUUUUCUUUCAGUCAUGAGAAUCUUUUUUUGUUCCGUACAACCUCGAAAUCUGGUUCGUGUCUACUGAAUUCACCUUCUUCCAACUCCGAGUCUUUGGAUUCUACAUCCGAAGAGUCAGGCUGAACGUCUGAAUGAGAGGACCGAGAAACACCUGAGUUGUUCCUGCGUAUAGGAGGAUGAAGAUAGUUCGCAGCGCCACUGGUUUCCCCUCUAACCAUGUCCUUUUCAGUGCCCAGCUUGGUCUGAAGAGGAAGUUCCAGCACAGAUUUCACAAUUGGAUUAGAUUGAGGAGGGAUGGUUGGUGCAGGUUGGUUGACGUGAGUUUCCUGCGAGGGAGUAGAAGCACCUGUAGGAGGAUUGAUCAUGACCCAAUUCUGUUUAUCUUUUGAUCUCCCUCUCCUUGUUUUCUUUCCUUUAGGCUCCUGCUGAUCUUGUUUGUCAUGUCGCUCAUGUCUAUUUUGCACAGGCUUUUGAGUACAUUUCGAGCGCACAUGAUCUACCGAGCCACACAGGGUGCAAACCUUAGGAGCUCUGGGACAACGUCUGGCUGCGUGUCCUAUUUCUUUACAAAUGUCGCAUACUGGUGGCAUCCAGGGACUUGAAACAAGUACCCUACUGAUUUCUCCCGAGUCGAACUGCACGUUGACUGCCUCGGGUAGGGGCUUCCUAGGAUCGAUGAUAGUAAACACCUUGGCAACCUCCAAAUUACUUUUGUUAGCUGUCAUUGGGUGAAGGAAUUUGGGAUGCCCCACCAGUCCCGCAAUGCGCUCCAGGCCAUCCUCAUUAAAGAACUGAAGAAGGACUUUCCUAAGUUCCAACCAGAUGGGGGCGGAAGUAAGCUCGGGCUUGGUAGGCACAACACCUGGUUCCCAUUUAUCUACAAACAUUGUCUGACCUUCAAUCUGCCAUAGCUUCUGCUUGAUCACCCUAGCUCGGGUCGCUGCAUUUGGAAUUCUGAAAAGGAUUGCGAAGCCUUCCAUUUUUGAAACCGCAAUGUCCCGAUACUGCUUGCUCCAGAUUCCAUUUACAAUGUUGUGCAAAGUACCUUGAGUAGGAGGAUCAGAGUAGAACUGUCCAAGCACAAAAGGCUCCCAAGAUUUCCUGUUUUUUCUCAAUAACCGAAUUGGGGAUCUUUACACAAGCUUCUCCUGACGGAAGAGUGAAAGCUUCACCCUUUUUUGAGAGUCGCUUAACUCCUUUAGCAAGAUCACACCAAGUUUCUUUAGAAGGAGCCAAAGGUUUUUCUUGUGAUGCUUGUCCUUAUAUGGGUGGUGGAAGAUCAGGGCUAGUUUCCUUAAUCGCAUCACUGUUUGGAACAGAGUUAGCUACUCUUGUUGCAUCGGCAUUUGAAACCUCCUCUUGGUCCUUGACAGAGGUUAGGUCGUUCACAUUUGCUUGUUGCGAGCUCAAAUGGUUUACAUUGGCAUCAGCAUUAGCUACGAUUGUAAGGGUACCAGGGGAAAUAAAAUCUUCAGCGAUUUCAGAUUCUACCGGUAGGGUUGCAGAGGGGCUCGGGGGAAGACCUUUGGAGCUCGACUCAUGUUGGCUGAAGAGAACUUCGUUGCAAGCUAAGGCUGGAUCUGCUGACUGCUCGGCGAACACAAUCGUGCCUGGUGGAGAUACUUCAGAUUGAGAGUUCGUGUCUGAGUGGCUAACCGGGAGUUGAGCAACCGCAUCGACUGGAGAGUCAAAUUGGGCAUCAGAAACUUCCUUAUCACUUAUCAGCUAGAAAGAAGGGGACUUUCUCAAUAAUCUUAACAGGUGGGGAGGACGGUCUCGUCAGAUUCGACUUCGGAGACGUCUUCGAGGGGGUGAUUUUUUGGGUUUCUUCUUCUUCAUCUUCAUCUCCCUCAGGGGAGAAGGAGCUGAGCAAUUGGCGAGGGUCCGACGCCUAAUUAGACGUCGGUGAGCGGCCGGAGUCUGAGUCACGGUGGGGGAAGGAAUCGCCUAACGCGUCGCACUAGAUGAGAGAGAAAGUAGCCGUUUUUAACGUUUGAUCUCUUAAAAAAAAAUCUCGUUUAUUAGAAAUAUAUUGAAUCCGAGACAAUACGAUGUCAACUAAGAGAAUCAAACUCGGGUGUUUAUAAUUCUCUCUCUAGACGCUUUGUAAAAAUAUGAAAUAGAAGUACAAAAAAGUUCAUUUUCGCCGAUAAAUCUCCCAAAACGAAAUUCAGAAGAAGAAAAAAGGAUUCAUAAACUCAAACAAAAGACGGGAAAUACUAAAAACUAGAUCGAACGUAGCUAUUUAUUUAUUGUUUCCAGUAAAUAAACAUAUGUAUUUUUAUACAUGUUAAUGAAAGAAAAAUAACAGCAAGGUAUACAUAACUGGUUGCACAAAACCAAAACACAAAGUUAUAUUUAGAAUUUUUAGUAAUUAAACCCCUCGACUAAAGAUGAAUCGUAAAUAAACCAAUCAACUAAAAAUUCAACGAAAAAAACCCUCAACAUUAAUUCUUUUUCACCAUCUGUCAAGGUAUUUUAGACGGAUGGUACAAACAUUAACGAAAUUAAAGUUGAGGGUUUCUUUCGUCGAACUUUUAGUUGAGAGGUUAUUUUACAAUUCAUCUUUAAUUGAGAAGGUUUAUUACUAAAUGGAAUUAACUAUUUUAUCCACUUAUGCAUUAUUUAAAACUCUUACAAUCGAUUUAUAAGCCUUUAAAAUAAUUUAUAAAUUUUUACACAUUACUUUAUCAAUUUUAUAACCGAUUUAUAAAGCUUUAUAAACAUUUUAAUACUUUUAUAAAUGAUUAAUAAAAAAUUUAAUAAUAAUUUUACAAGAUUAAAGAUAUGGUUGUUCGCCAUAAUACAAAAACAUAAAGUAAAUAAAUAAAAGCGUUCUUAGUAAUUAAACCUCUUAACUAAAGAUGAAUCGUAAAUAAACUCCUCAACUAAAAAUUUGACGAAAAAACCUUCAACUUUAAUUCCGUUAACGUUUGUAAUCCUCCGUCGCGGUAUUUUAGACGGCAUGACUCGAAGAUAAAAAUUCGACAAAAAAACUCAUCUAAUUUUAAUUCCGUUAAUGUCAGUCACUCUCUGUCAUCACUUGAUGGUUGGGGCUUAUUUGUUCUUCUUUCAUAUAGUUUGGGAAAGUGGCAAUGGUUGCCUCUUUACAUAUAGGUGUGAUUGACAUAACAUCUUUCUAAGUGACUAGUGAGAUCUUUGCAUUUGCCAUUAAUUUAUGAUACAACGUUUUCUUCAUGCUGCAUUGUUUUAAGUUUUAUAUUUUUCUUUGGUUUCGGAGGACUAACAACUCCUACGGUCCUACCAGUUUCAAUUUCCAGCGAAACUCAGGACUUUGGUUUCCGUAUCUUUCGGGCUUUGGUUUCCAGUUUUGAUUGUAGGGUUCCUACUAGAAGCUCGUUCCAUAUCGGUCGCUGGUUCAAAUUUUAGUUUCAUGAUAGUACUUUUUCAUAACUUUUGAGUGCUUCUUUCUGAGCCACAGAGACUGGCUUAAAAUUGUUAAAUGCAGAUUAAAUACGCGCAAUGCCCAAUUAAUACCCACAAGGCCACAACAACUCUAGUUUUAUUCUUGGCAAUUUAAAAGAGAAAGACUUGAACCUCCUCAACCUAUAUAUACUAUAGUGCAGUUGGUGUUUUAACUUUUAUCUCUAAUAGAUCAACCUAGAAAUCGCGAGUGGAAAAAUUCACAUAAUAAAUGACAGACUAGAAUGGCAGGUACUUUAGUAAUGCUCAUAAUAUAUAGCACCAAUUCUAAAUAACAAACGGCGAUACCUUGACUCACACUAAUUGAAGAUGAUCAUGAAGAAAACAAAUUUUAUAGAAACACAUUUCAAGAACAAUCAAUCCAUCAUUGUUAAACUGGAACUCUUAUCAGUUUCUAAUAAACUAGUGACAGUAUACAAAUUAAAUUAACAAUAUAGCAAAUGAUCAUGCCUAAAUAGAAACAAUCAAGAACCAAAUAAGUCAUAAACCAUCGGAAACAUGAUCGACAUUCAUUCUAGAAACUACAUAAUAAGUAGACGGUAACACAAGCAUCUUGAUCAUCUCGCUAACACUAUUUCAUUUCAAUGUCCGAAGCAUAAGAAAUUUGAUUCGCAGAACACAAGGCACAGUACUGAUUAAACUUAAUCAACAAAGGGCAAAGAUUUGUUGAGUUUCCAUAAUAUAAAUUUAAAAAAAGAAAAAAAGACAAAACCCAGAAUCAAUUUCAAAACCAAAAGUCUUAAACCAUCCAAAACACGAUCCACAUUCAUUUCUAGAACUACAAAAGUAGAGUGUAAAGAAACUCGGUUCUCAGAACCUUAGCUUGGUGAAGAACCACCUGUUCUUCCCAGUCUUGAACCUCUCCUCGAGCUUAGCCUUAGCCUCCUUAAGAGCCGCGACCUUUUUGUCCUUCGAAGCCAGAGCCUCGAGAGUCGCAACUUCCUUCAGAUCCACGUCCAACGUGUAACGAGUAGGCAUCAGAUGCUGGUAGUUCACGACCUUGAUGAAACACUUGACUCUCGACUUCUUCGCCGUCUUCUUGGCCGAGUCCUUUCGGAUGACUUUGCUGGGGUACUUCUUGAGCCCGGCGACGAGGCAGUGUCCGUAAGGACGCUCGCGGUUGCCGUCGUCAAAGGAGCGGAUGAUGACGGCCUUCUUGCCGGCGUAACGGCCUUGAAGGAGGAUCACAGCUUUGUUCUGCUUCAGAAACUUAACCAUGGCUUCUCUCUCUCUCUACCUCUUCCGGCAAGGAUUGUUUUUUGGUUUGGUUAUAUAGUGUGCGAAGGGAAACCCUAAGGCAUGAAAUGAAAUGAUUCUUACACAGCCCAUAUAAAAUGGGCUGCGCCUACUGAAAUCCAAAAGAAAUUCACAACAAAAAGUUAGUCAUAACUCAAAACUACAUCUAGAUGCGCAGAUUUUUUUUGUUUUCAUUUAGUUUUAUAUAAAUAUUUUAUUUUUAAUUCUAAAUUGGUAUAUAUUAUAAUAUAUAUAUAUGUAUAUCAGUUUUUAAAACAUAAUAAGUUUAUGGUAUAUUUUUUUCAUUGAAUAGAUUGUUUCAAACUUUCGCAUAUAUUUAUAUCUUCUUCAAUAUAUAUAUAUAUUUCAGAUUAUUAUUUUAUUAUUAAAAUCGUAACUAUAUAUAUAAAGAUUAGCAAAAUAUUUUUUUAUUAUCAUAUUCAAAAAUAUUGUAACAUUUCACAAAUUUAGAAAGUUUUUUAAAAAUUAAACUUUUUGCUUCAUAGAUUUAUAUUAUCGAGUAAAUAAUUAAACAUUUAAUUUUUGUUUAAUUUUUAAAAUACAAUAUAUAGUUUUAAAUUUUUUUUCAAUGGUUUAAGGUAGUAAAGAUUAAUCAUUGUUAGAUAGUAUGAUUUUUGUUAUUUAAAAAAAAUUAUUAUAAUUUUAAAAGUUAAUAUCAACAAAUAUUCAAAUAAUUAACAUAUGGAGAUAUAAUAUUACAACAUCAAAUUAUAUCUAUUUAAUUUAUAAUAUCUAUAAAUCCAAUGGAUCAUCUAUUGUUUAAAUCUAAUUAUUGAUAGCCCAAUAAAAUUUUUUGGUAGGCCCAAAAAUUAAAUGAUAAGAAUAGAGAUUAAAUAUAACAUAAUUUUCUAGUAAUAGGUCCAUUAGGUCCAUUUUUAAAAAAAUCCACACAUGAGUCAAUGUUGUGACUUCUCUUUUAAUAUAUACUAGAUUUUGUCAUGUGCGCCCGCGCAUGUGUAUUUAAAAAAAACUACGAUGCCAUUUGUUUUUCAUGUCACUAUUUAGGAUUGAGCAAAAAACUCGAAUUCGAAGAACCGAACCGAUCCCAAUCCGAAUAAGUAGUAUCAAAUCCGAACUGAAAUUGAUUAAAUAUCUGAAUUAUUCAAAAUUUUGGUAUUUGAAGAACUGAAAUCUAAUCCGAUCCGUACCGAAGUAUUUUGGGUAUCCAAAAUAGAUCUAUAUACUUAUAUAUAUUAAUUAUUUUUAGAUUUAAUAUAUAUAUAUAAACAUCCAGAAUAUAUAUGAUACUUUUAAGUUUGUUUAAAUACUUGAAAAUGUUUACAAAUAAUCAAACGUAAAUAUCUAAAAUAGUUAUAAUAUACUCAAAACUCCAAAAAUACUUAAAUAAUUAUUAAUUCUCUAUCCAAAUAUUUAAACUAAACCAAUUUACAUGUUAAGUUAGGUACUCUGACAUAUGUUAUUCAAAUUUAUAUGUAACAUAUUCUAUUGUUUAUAGAUUUUUUAAAAAUUAAAGCAUAUGAUAAAUUUUAUUUUUUAAAAAUAAUUUAAAUUGGUUAUCCAAAACUGAUCCGAAUCCUCAAAGAUCUGAACCGAACACGAAUUCGCAAACAGACCCGAACGCCCACCCCUAAUCACUAUUAUAUAUCAUAUAUGUGUCAUCAUAGGUUACAAAAAUAUGUGUUAUCAUAUAACUAAUCGUAUUUUAUACGUACCAUCAAAUAAGUAAUCUUAUAAUUAAUAAUAUUUUAUACGUACAAUCAUAUAAAUAAUCACAUAUAUCUAUCUUAUAUUUCAAUGUGAAAUAUAAAAACCAUAGUUUAAGUUGGUGUUUGAAAUUGGAUUUUGUGUUGUAUUUUUCUUAUAUAUAUUGAAAAUAUUUUUAUAAUGGUUAUUGGAAAAUAUUUUAGUAAAAAUCAAAUUUUGAAUAUAUGUAUAUUUUUGAAUGAAUUUUUGAUAUAAAUCAAUUUUAAAUUAGUAUUUUAAUUUGAAUAUGUAUAUCAAGUAACAUAAGCCUAUUACUUUUUAAUAUAACGUAAUAGAUUUCCAAUUUUUAUAGUAGUAUAAGCCCAUUAUUUUUUUUCCUAAUUUACUGCUAACUAUGUUUCCAAACAUCAUUAUAUUUAUUUUUUUACUACGAUUAAUAUUUCCUAACAAAAGCUUAAAGUACUUCCAAUUUAUAUAAGAUAGAUUCACGCACAAGAUAGAGCAUGCUUUACAAAAUACGGGAUACAAGUUCGCCCUAGACUUCAAUACUCUCUCUGACACUGGGCUCGAUGUCCGCCUUCAGUUCUCUUUCUUUGGCUCCCUAGCUCGCCGGCGUCGCCAUUCUCUUGUCGUCCUUUUUCAAGUGUACUUCUCAGCUUUCGUUUCAUCACCACCGGAUCUCUCUUCUUCUCCUAUGAAUUCAAGUCGUUUGUGUGUGUAUCACUCUGCUUCAAGCAGGAGUCGCCGGACAUCUAUUCAUCUGGUUGGGAAGCUUCACUCCACCCGUCAAACCACUAUUGCUUGAACAUCCUCUUCCGCCGACGUCGACCUCAGCCCUCCGAACUCCAGAUCUGUGAGCCUCGCCGGAAGAGAUAACUACUCAGGGGCUUCUCGUGUCGCUCCAUGCCUCUUUCCGGCUUUUACUCCUAUUCAGUCCAGAUCCGAGCUGCAAGUACGCGGAUGCACUUCACCGAACUAUCUCACCGGUACUCUAGCUGACGAUACUUUAGCAGCCGUUGUAGAUGCUGCAAAGUCGGAGCUGCGCCAUCUCGGAUCUCCACCAGAACAGUUUUUGGAGCUGCCAUCUCACCUCUACAUGGUCUCACCUCCGUUGCUGAAAACCUCCACCACGACCUCCUUCACAGUCGUGACGAACUUCAACUUACGGUUGGAGAUGGCUUCCACCAUGAUACGCCCUAAAUCGGGAAAUAUCACUUUAGCUGGGUGUUGGAUAUGAUCCGAAAAGGCAAACGGCACUUCUAGAACUGAUAUGGAUUGAAAGGAUCGUCAAGAGAUGCGGAAUUGCUCUUGAUAUACCCACGAUCUAAGGCUAACCACCUAAGAACGAAUGUAGUGUGUUGGCUAACCACCAAACGACACACAAAGAUGAUUGGCUGACCACCAAAUCAACAAGCCGGUUCAAACCGAUGAACUAGCUAAGAACUCACUCUCUCACUCAGAGAAAAGAAGAAAACCAAAAUAAACUCAAACUUAGACUGAUUUUAUUAUGAGAAAUGUUUACAUAUUUAUACUACUUGAGGAAUAGAAAAAGACUUAAGAAUGUAUUAAGGACAAACUUAGUAAAUCGAAUCUAGAUGAGAAAUUUAAGGACAAUGUAUUAAAAUUUUUGGAUCUCAGAUCUGGUCAAAGAGACUCUUCGGCUAACGUCCAGGUUUGUCUGAACCAAGUGGUUCCUUCGCGGUAAGGACCAAGAUGUGGACUGGACGAUCCGUACGGCCCAAAUUCGCGAGAACUGAAGGUCUCCUGAUUUGCAAAUUUCAUAACUCCCUCAUCUGAACUCCGUUUGAUCUGAUUCUUCUUCGAGGAGCUCCGUAAUUGAGUUGAGAACAUUCUCCAAGUGAUUUCAUGCGUAGAGGACUCGUUUUUGGAAAUAUGAGUCAAACAAUGAACAUAUAUCAUUACUGCUUUCCAUGAUCAAGCCAUACAUGUCUGUUUUGCCCGGUGCGCUACUCAAGGGCGCAUCACACCGUCUCCGGCGAACUUAGUGUGUCCUGCCCGCGACUGUUCUUGGUCCUCGCUCUUCGCCACCUCAGGUCUCCACCAGAUCGGAAUCUUGAACUGCCACCUCAUCCCUGCGCCGCUGCACCACCGUUAACCGCCCACCGCAGCUUUCCUUCCACCGGCACAAACCGAAACUCAAACCAUCGCCUCGUUAAAGCUUCUGAUUGUGUUCUUGUGGGGAUCUGUUUGGGCCUGACCCAUAGUUUUGAUCCUAAGAGCCCAACAUCAAAGUUUCUCGAGCUAUCACAACGCCAUAGACGAAUUUGCUGCUGCACCGUCCUCUUACAGGUUGUACCGUCGACGACUCCACAUGUAGACAUACUCCGGCAACCUCUCCAUAUCUCCAUCCAUCGUCACCUAAACUCAGCAUUUUGCGAUUCUUGUCAACUGCUAUCUUUUAGAAGUUGUACCGUCGACCUGUGUGUAGUCCUACUCCGGCAGCCUUUCCGCACCUCAUUGCAAUGUCGGGAGAUCUUGUCAUUUUCAGAGACAGUUUUCAACUGCUCUUAAAAUCCAUUGGUUCGGUUCUUCAACGUCGAUUUCGACUUCUUUGUGUUCUAUCGAACGCGGGAUUUAGGAUUACUAGUGAAGAUUUUCUUCGGAUUUCUUCUUUCUUUAGCCAUUUCUAUUUUUUGUUAUGUUAUGUUAGCCUCUCCGGUUGUAACUGUCUCGCUUAAUUUUAAUAUAAGCAUUUGUUGUCAACCAGAAGAAAAAAAAGCUUUACAACAUACGGUAUAUCUCUCUAUAUAUAUAUAUGCAAUUUUUAUAUGCAUCUGCGUAUUGCACGUUUUGUGCAAGAUUUUUCUGGUGGUCUUUUUAUGUGUUUGAAUUUUUUUUAUAACCAAUUUGUCUAUGACUGAACUCAAAUAGUAGUCGACUAACAUCGCUUUGAGUUGUGUUCUAUUGAACCUUUUAACAAUAGUUGAUGAUGAAAGACAUCCAGAGAUUUAGAUUUCCUGGAAUACUUUAUACUUCCAAAGGUUUCGUUCGCAUGAAGCGUCUUCUAGAAAGUUUUCCAUGAAAUUUUCAAAAACCUGAAAUCUGAAAUUUUCAUCAGCUUCAACACACUCAUAUGUUUACCAGAUGAAGAAAAAUAUACCAGUUUUAAGCCCUGUUCGGAACUAAGCUGGAAACUAAUCGGGCAGCAACUCCAAAUCUAGCGAGUUACCAAAAAAUUGAGGAGUACUCAAGGAUUACGCGGAGCCUAGUUUUAAAUAUAAUUUAAUAUAUUUAGCUAAUUUAAACAUGAUGAAACAUAUUCUUAGACAUAAUACUAUAUUUUUUUUAUAUAUAAUUUUAAACAACUUCUUUUUGAUUCGUCGAACAUUUAGAUUAUGGUGUGUUUGGUACAAAAAUUUUUCUAAAUACAGUAAUUAUGUGUUUGUUUUGGGUUUGAUAGUUAAUUGUAAUUAUUUAGUAAUGAAUAAUUACACAAAAUCUUUUAAUAAUGAGUAAAAAAUAAUUAACCGUGUUUCAACUUUACACGGACGAAAAAAAACUUAGGCAGAAAUUAGGCGGUCGACGCAUGAAUUAGGCGGUCUUACGCGGGAAUCAGGCGGUCUUACGCGGAUCAACGCGGAUCGAAGCCUGACUACUCCGAUUUGGACAUAUUUGGCGCGGUCAACCUAUGAACAGCACCUAGACAGCUAGAUGGCCGCGUCUUCGAACAUGGAUUUUAAGUAACAAAAUGGUUACCAUAUGAAGAAAAUUCAGAUAUAGAGACUUACCAAAGACAUUCAUAUCUGUUUUGUUUCCACCAUCAACUUCAACCUAUGAGACCUCCUCCUCCACUUUGACACCUCCAACAGCAACCUCUAAGACCUCUUCUUCCAGCUUAGACAGCUCUUCCACUUUGGCAGCUUCAGAUCUGAAACUGAAUCAAAAGAUUCAUAACAUAAUUUGGGAAAAAUGAGAGCUUUAAACAACAAGAUGUUACCAAAUAAAGAAAAAUCAGAUAUGGAGACUUACACAAAACAUUCAGAUCUGUUAUGAAAUAGGAGACAUGAGAUAAGACUUUCUAGAAAGUAUUCUAGUGUAUUAUAUGUUACGAGACUUCUCAGAAAUGUUUCAGAAUCUGACUGAGAUUUAAAAAAACUGCAUAUCCAAAAAUAAGGUUUUUAUAGUUAAAUAAUAAAUAAAACAAUAAUAAAUUUUUAAUGCUUAAAUAAUAAACAAAACAAUCACAUUAUGUUGAAUCUAUAACUUCUUAGAAUCUAACAUAAAAUUACAUUUCCAAAAUUUAUAGAUUUACUUUUAAAAGAAUUGAUGAUGAGAAUCAUGUAAUGAAAAACCUGCAAAAACAAUAUAAAUCAGUGAGAAAUACAUGAGACAAAACUGAGAAAAUGAUAUAAAGUUUGGUGUUUUCAAGUUCAAAUAGAUUAGAGGGAGGUUGGAGAAUUUUAGAGUGAAAAAUAUUACAUUCUUGUUGCACCCAUUUGAGAAGAAAAGAGAGAAUGUGUAAAUUUUAUUUAUAUAGAGAGACACAAAUUUAAAUAAAAUUAAAUAUUUUCAGUUUAGAAGACUUUUAUUGAAGUCUUUUAGUGCAUUAUUUGUUAGAAGCCUUAAGUCACUUAAGUCACAUAUACGGCCAUAUAAUCGAUGAUUCUGUCACAUAUGGGGUGAUCUUUCAAUUUAUCCGAUAAUGAUGAACAACUCCACGACUACCGAUUCCACGAUGAAUCUCUCCCGAAACACUUGGAUCGAUGGACGAUUCUGCAUGUACGACAUCCUCGAUGGUCAUGCUCUCUCUGUAACAAACGACUACACCGAACGGCUACCUACAGUACUAUGGAACCUCCGAAAAGCUUUGCAUCAUAUAAUCUACAAAAAAUUGUGUUGUCUGGGACUCAAACCCCAGACUUGGGUGUAGAAGCCUUUAAACCUUAACCACUAGGCCACAACGCUUCCACACAAAAAAAACUAAACUUAUACAUAUACAAACACUUCAUUAAAUGAUGUAAUUUGUGAUUUACCCAAUGUUUAAAAAGAACUAAACAUAUACAAACACUUCAUUAAAAUUAAAAUCAACCUUAAAUGUUUUAUGUGUGCACAAAACUAAUCACAUAUAGGUCAAAUUCAAUUUUUCAAAAAAAAAAAAAGAUUAAAAUUUCAAAAUCUAACCCUAAAAAUACAAACAAUACUAUAACAUAUGUUAUCAAAUCCUAAACCAAUGAAUAUCAUGACUCAAUCUACAUUCACUUAUCUAUGUCGAAAACAAUUCAAUUUUACUAGAUCUUAAUUUAUAUCAUUUACAAAUAUAAUUACAUGAUUUCAGUGUUUCUCCCAUGAAAUUAUUUUUUUAUAAAAUUUAUAAAUUAUUUUUAAGAUCUAUUAUAUGAGAAGACUUACAAAAUACAAAAGAUUUCCUGGGGUUAUGUUCAUAAAAAUGCAUAUUAGUUUUUUUGUUUGGACAUAAUGGGCUGAUUAUAAUUUCACUAGACUUUUGGAUUAUUUUUCUAUUUCAUUGAAGUUGGGGUAUACUAUUCCAUUAAAAAAUCAAGUUUUAGGUCAUUUUGGCAAAUUCUCCAUAUUUUAUAUCUUAUUUUAAUUUUUUAAAAUUUUAUUUUAUUUGUAAAACUUAAAUUUAUAAAAACAAAUUUACAAUAUUUAUGUGGUAUAAAAAUUUAAGGUUUAAAAUGAUAAUUGACAAAAUACUGAAAAUCAUAAAUAUGAUAUAUAAUUGUACGGACAAAAAUACAAAUAAAACUAUAAAGUUUUAAUUUUAAAGUUUUGAGUAGUGAUACUUCAUAUUUGAAGUUUCAAUAGUCAAAACUUAAAAUUAAAAGUGAAAUUAUAUUUGGAGAGCAAAAAGAGUGUAUUUUGGAGAUGUUCCUCGGCUCCUAAUAAGUAUAAGAUUUUUGGAACCUAGUCACGUGAGGUUGGUGUAGUCGACUGGUUGAUCUAGUAAAAUAAAUUAAUGCAUGGUUCAAAAAUAUACAUAUGAAAUAUUGAAAAAUAGAAUAUUACUAAUAUUUUGCUAUGUUUGUUUUUGCAUAAUUCAACAAUAAAACAGCUCAACUAAAUAAUUAAAUAAUCCCUAAUUGGGACCUGAAAUCUCAACCAAUGGAUUCUAGGAGAAUCAUCGCUUGAGACUUUCAUGAUUGAUGAAUAGAAUCAAAUCAAUACUCGGAGGAAACACAUCUCUAAAUCUACUCAAACAGACCAUUAAAACAAAAUAAACACACAACAUUUGAGCGUUGUUGUGAAUAUUCUGCAAAAAAUAACGUUUAACUAGAAGCAACUAAGAUAUAAAUAUAUAAAAACAGUAUUUUGGUAGGAAUGAAGAAAGUAAAUUGAAAGAAAUAUUUGUUUGGAACACUGAAAAAAAAAAUAUAUAUAUAUAUAUAUAGACAUUGAACUCGUUAACUACGUUGGUUUAAUUCAGCUUCUUGAUCAUUUGUUAUCUUUUGUAUCAGUUUUCGCGAAACUAGAGGAUGCAAUUGAGAUCAUCUCGUUUUUUUUUAAGGUAAAAACUGGUAUUCAACAUCACAAUAUAUGAUUAAAUUUCAGGUAUCCGACUCUGUCAGGUUCUCCCGACGUAUUCGAACUUUGUCUUGCAUUCAUGUCAUCUUCUUUUGAAAACCUAUCUUAUUUGACAUAUCUGAUGGAUUUAUGUAUACUUAAUGGAGGUGGUAUCAAUGCCACAUAAAUUCUUAGGCCCCAUGAUCUACUAGCGUAUAUGGUUAGCACUGAAAAUUAAAAGAGCUUGAAACACUUACUUGAACUCAUCUUACAAGAAGAUGAUAGGUAGAUGGUCUUCUAGCUCUUCGUAUCCGAAUUAUCCUCUACUAAGUAAUCGGAACUUGAGUAGAGAAUAGAGGAAGUAUGCAUGAUGAGAGUGAGAGAGAAUCCUUAUGUUUUUGUCUUGCAAAAUGACAAAAGCCUUCUUUUCAACCUUAUACUUUAUGUUCUCAUCUCUCUACCUUAUAUACUUCCUCACCUUAUGGUAUAUAUUAAACUGAAUAUAUAUACCUUCAUAUAUACGUGAGCUAGAUACCACAACCAAACUAGUAAACCGUAAUUUAACCGGUCCUGAACCAUUGCCAUUUAAUUCAGCCCAUCAUAGAAUUAAAUGAUAUCCUAAUUGGUUUCUAUGCAUAAAACCCCCAUGUCCAUCGAAUCAAAUACCGAAAGCCCAAUCCAUAUAUGAUCACUCAUUAUUUGGGCCAAACUGAGAUAACAAUCCUUAAUCCAUAAAUCCCACAAUUGGUUCACAUCUUCAACAAUCUCCCACUUGUGGACCUAAUUGUGACCAAGAUGGUUUAUGGACUAAUCCUAAUGAGCGCUACUUAUGAUUGUCAUUAAAAACCGGUAUGAAACAGUCUCGUCCAUAUAUCAUAUUAAUACCGGAGGAUAUAUAAUUACUGUAACCGUAAUUAGAUCCAAAAUGAUCACAAGUAUUACCAUAAUAAAAUGACAUUAGACCAGAGAUGGAUGCAUAUCAUGGAAAUUACACGCAAAAGUGAUUAUCGUGCCUAUUUCCAACUGAUCCUCUGAAUCGAGAUCAACCUUAUGAACAAAAAACACAGAGUGAUACCCCAACACCGAACCAAAUAGUGUUGGAAUGCAAUACUGAACCAAAUAGUAUUGAAACCUUAAUGUAUGAACCAAAUAUACAUUAAGCCAAAAGUAAGCAAAAUACUUAUUAGGUACAAACAACUCCCAUUAAAACGAUAUAUCGUCUAGACCCAUAUGAGCAACAUGAUCCCUAAAGACUUUAGGUGGAACACCUUUAGUCAGCGGAUCCACUAUCAAGGAGUUUGUACCUAUAUGCUCAACUGAAAUUAAACCACUCUGGAUGCUUUCACGAAGAACACGAUACUUGAUGUCGAUAUACUUCGACUUCGUGUUGCUCCUAUUGUUGUUCGCAUAUAACACUGCUGAAUUAUUGUCACAGUAAACCUUAAGGAGUCUUUCAACACCCGGAACCAAAUGCAGUCCUGUGAUAAAAUUCCGCAGCCAAAUAGCCUGAUUGGAUGCCUCAUAACAUGCUAUGUAUUCUGCUUCCAUAGUGAACGAAGCCACAAGCCCCUGCUUGGCACUUCGCCACGAUAUGGCUCCCUCAGCAAGCAAGAAUACAUAACCCAAAGUGGAUCGAUGGCUAUCAAGACAUCCAACAUAAUCAGAAUCAGAAUAACCAUAGAUCUCGAGCUGGUUACCUCAUCUAUAGACGAGCAUAAGAUUCUGAGUUUUCUGCAAAUACUGCAUCACCCGUUUGACUGCCCAAUGGUCAAUCCCCGAGUUACUUAAGUAUCUCCCCAACAUGCCAACAAUAAAAGCCAAGUCUGGACGCGUACAAACCAUAGCGUACAUCAGACUCCCAACCACUGAAGCAUAAGGAAUUUUCUGCAUUUUCCUCAAUCUCUAACGCAGUCUUGGAACACUGCUUUAAACUGAACUUAUCACCUUUAGAAAUAGGGUAUCUAUUGACUUACAAUUCUUCAUGUCAUACCGUUUCAGAACCUUAUGGAUGUAGCUCUUUUGUGAUAAACCUAAUAUACCACGAGAACGGUCUUGGUGUAUCCUUAUUCCCAAUAUAAAAGAGGCUUCACUAAGAUCUUUCAUCUCAAACUGUUCUGAACGAAACUUCUUGGUAUCUCGCAACAUGCCAACAUUGUUUGUGGCAAUAAGAAUGUCAUCAACAUAUAGGAGAAAGAUCACAAAUUUGCUCCCACUGAUCCUCUGGUAUACGCAAUCCUCUAUAUAACUCACUUCAAAACCGAAUGAAGUGAUCACCUGAUGAAAUUUGUGAUACCAUUGACAAGACGCUUUCUUUAAACCAUAGAUGGAUUUCUUUAGUUUACAUACAGCCUUCUUUGGGUCUCCAGCCACAAAGUUUUCCAGCUGUUGCAUGUAAAUGACUUCAUCAAUAUCACCAAUGAGAAAUGCCGUCUUUACAUCCAUCUGGUGCAGCUCUAAAUCCAAAUAAGCUGUCAGUGCCAUUAUUACCCUUACUGAGUCUUUCGAAGAAACCGGAGCGAAUGUCAUCAAUGCCUUCCUUCUGAGUAUAACCUUUGGCAACAAGGCGGGCUUUUUAUCUUUCCACUUUACCGUUUGCAUCCCGUUUGGAUUUAAAGACCUAUUUACAACCAACCGGUUUCGCACCUUCUGGUAGUGGCUCAAGAUCCCAAACGCCAUUGUCCAACAUAGAUUUCAUACUCUUCCUUCAUGGCAUCAGUCCACUCAUCAGAGUCAACACUUUUGAAGGCUUGACGGACACUUAAAGGGUCAUCCAUCAUCCAAAUGCCAUCUUCAUGUUCAUGAAGAAAUAUCACAAAAUCAUCCGAAAUUGCACUCUUCUUUUCUUUAGUGGACCUUCUUAAUGGCACUGUUGGUUCUUGAGAAUCUUCAUGGAACGGUUCUUGAGCCCCAAUAACUUGUUCUGAAUGAGAAUCCGAGUUACCCUCCUGAUUUCCAGUUGAAUCCUCAAUAACUGCAAUGGGUGUAAUCAAAACCAUAUCACUAUGGUGUCCUGACUUUUCAUUCUCUUCCUCAUCAAAGAAAGAAUCCUUAUUUUCUUUGUCCCGUUCUCCAAGUUCCAUAUCCUCAAAGAACCUUGAUGUUCCUGUCUCAAAAAAACGUUCGUCUAACCGGAUCAUAAAACUUAUACCCCUCGAUUUUUCUACAUAACCAAUAAAGUAACAACCAACCGUUCUGGAAUCCGGCUUCCUUUCAUCUGGAUUAUAUUGCCGCGCUUCCACUGGACAACCCUAUACGUAAAAAUGCCUCAAGCAUGGACAUCUUCCAGUCCACAGCUCAAAAUGCAGUUUGGUCGUUGCUUUAGUUGGCACUCUGUUUAGGAUGUAGGCUGUGGUCUUUAUUGCUUCAACCCAUAGGGAUUUUGGGAGAGUAGAGAACUGAAUCCUAUCUCUCACCAUGUCUUGAAGUGUCCGAUUUUGUCUAUCCGCUACACCAUUCACACUUGGAGUACCCGGCAUGGUGUAUUGCGGAAAGAUUCCACACUCAUCUAGGUAUAAAGCAAACGGUCCUGGAAGUUGUUCACCUGAUCCAUCAUAUCUACCAUAGUAUUCUCCACUACGAUCAGAUAUCCUUAACGUGUUUACCUAAUUGAAGUUCAACUUCAGCUUUAAACACUUUGAACACAUCCAGAACCUCUGACUUCUCGUAUAACUGGUAGAGAUAACUAUAUUGACUGAAUCGUCUAUGAAUGAUACGGAAUAGCAGUGUCCAUUCCAUGAAGCCGUAGGGAAUGGUCCACACACAUCUGUAUGUAUCAACUCUAAGACACCUAAAGCUCAAUAUGCAUAUUUCCUUCUCUGGUUUGUCUGCUUUUUCUUGAUACAACUUACACAUUGGCCAACAUCCAAAAAAUCAACGGAUUCUAAAACUUAAAGAUUAUCUAUUAAAUCCAAUGACCAUGACCGAUUAUAUCUGAAUGAUUUAAAAGGGUAACUUUAACUAUAUGGUUUCCAAAUGUACAAGAGUAUCCAGACUUGUCCAAAAUAGAUACUGAUAUUAAGUUACGUUUAAAAGAUAGUACAACUAGGCCUGGGCGUUGGGGUACCCGUUGGCAUUCGGGUCAGGUAUUUUGGAAUUCAAUUCUCUUUUAUAACACUUCCUAGGUCCAUUCUAGUAAAUUUACAAGUACAGGUCGGGUUCGAAUAUAACACAUCGGGUUCGGGUCGGUUUUGUAUCACAUCAUAGAACCCAUAAAGUAAUCAUACAUCAUUCGGAUUCGGGUUAUAUAGAAACGGUUCGGAUAUACCCGAAAUAAAAUCUAAAAUUUAAAAGUAAAACAUAAGAAAUAUAUAUAUUUCUUUAUAUAUAAUUAAGUAUUUAAGGUAGUUAUUUAAAUUUUAAAUACUUAUUGUUUGAUAACAUAUCAAAAUAAAUAUGAAAUUGAAUAUUUGAAGUAUAUAUUCAUGUUUCAUAUAAUUAUAUUGUAUAUUAUUUUGGACAUUCGGAUCGGUUUCGUCAGAUAUUUUUUUGGAUUUUUUGGUUUUUUUGGUUUUUCGGGUUACCCGUUCGGGUUCGGUUAAUAACAGUUCGGAUACAGAUAUGUUUUGUACCACUUUACAAGGCCCACUCGGAUAUUUUUAUAUUUCGGACCGGGUACGGAUAUUAUGUCCAGGCCUAAGUACAACAAAAACGCCUUUCAAAUCUAUAAAACGGCCGGUCUUUAACAAAAUCCUCAAGCUUCCUAUUGCUUCCACUUUAACCCCUUUACCAUCCCCCACAUAAAUCAGCUUUUCAGCUUCAUUGGGUUUCCGCCAGUAAUGGAGGCAACCCUACAUUGACAUACAUAUGUGAGUGUAGCACCUGAAUCAACCCGCCACAUAUCCUUAGGUAUAGAAAUUAAAUUGACUUCAGAAAAAACCAAAGCGAGAGUCAUACCCUUUGCGGCACGCCAAGAAAGAUUACAUGCCUUCUUCAUGUGACCUUGCUUAUGGCAAAAAAGCAUUUCUGAUCUUUGGCGUCACCUAAUGCCUGCUUCUUUUGACCGGGUCCAGGUCCUGAAUCAGAAGCCUUUUUCCUCAUCCUAAACUUAGGUGAUUUCCCUUUGAAGUGGUUGCCACAUGAACUCUCUCUCCUUCUCCUUAGACAGCUUCUCUUCCUCCUGAACACACUGAGCAAUAAGCUCGUUCAGACUCCACUUUUCCUUCUGACAAUUAUAACUCACUUUGAAAUGAGCAAACUGUCCAGGGAGCGAUAUCAAAAUUAAACACACGAGGACAUCAUCAGACAAAGAGAGUCCAAGUGCAUUUAGCUUGGAGGCUGUGUUAGACAUUUUCAAGAUGUACUCUCGGAUACUCCAUGUGACUUUAUACCUCAUGUGAGAACCGAAAUUCACACUGUCGAUUUCCGUUUAAAUUAGGAAAGUAGGAGAAUCCUAGUUUCCCAGAGGUCCCGGAUAUCUGCUAAUACCACACGCCAAACAAUCAGAACACGAGAUAACAACGAUGAAAAUAUAAGAAAUCGUAAAAAGAGCAAAAGGUGUCUUAUUUCGAAUUCGCGUAUGAGCGUUACAACAAGGUAGAAGCCUCGGCUAUAGAGUUGUCGGCGAGAUCCCUAGUUCUAACAACCUAAGACUGCAAAACUUAUUAGAGUCGCAGCUCGAAAUAACAAAAACGGAAAGUUUCCUAAUUGCUCUAAGUGCUAAGUUUGCUCUGAAAAAGUUCUCUUCAUGUGCCUCUCGCCUAGGACUACUUAUACACUCGCUCUGAAGUUGGUUUACGCUUUUUCCCUUCUGCCCUUAAGCUGUCAUAGCUUAAAAAUGGAGAUAUUCCAUUUUUCCCGAUCUUCGUAAUUAUCUUCCAAAACUUCGUAUUUAUCCGCGGAAACUUGACAUUUAUCUUUCCUUGCGAACCAAGCAUAAACCGUACGGGCUUUUGGUUGAGAAAUUGUAAGUGGGCUUCGAGUCACGUCUUAGGUCUUUUUGGGCCGUCUUUUGACUCGAAAUGUUUAUUACGGCUUCUUUCGAUAAAAACGAACUUUCCGCGGUUUUUAUCGUAAAGUUCGAUUGGUGACUUCAAAUGACGAGAAACAUGAAAUGGGUUUGCUACGGUCUUCAGGAGAUAGCAUUAAAGAGUAGACGAAAAUGCAUGGAUUCGUGUCGUAUCUACGUUUAGGGAAAGCUCGAUCGCUUCGUAACGAUUGAAAUGGGCAUGUGCUCGGUCGCUACGUAGAGACCGAGCUUGGCUCGAGAUCGGUUGCUAUGUAGCGACCGAGCAGUGUGCAUGCUUGGUUGCUGCGUAGCGACCGUGCUUGGCUUGUCCGUGGUCCGAUCGCCAUACUCGAGCUUGUCCGCGGCUGGUUUAGAUACGUGUCCGUUGCCUUGGGACAGCCGGUAUUUGAUUCAAUCGAGACUUUGAACAAGGUUUUAUCGCGAGAUUCUUUGUUGCGAUUUUCUUUAUGAAGUAUAACUGUCAUAAAAAGAUACUCACAUUCAUUUUUGCGGAGGUUUGGACAUUAACUUUGUCGUAACCGUUUUCGACCCCAACAACUCAUGGAGGCCAGAUCCGCUAGAAACGUAAUCGUUUCAGCUUUGCCAUUCUUGGCAAAGCUCUUCUCCAAAGCAACGAGGUAAUCUUUAGCCAACACCACCUCAUCGGGCACAAUGCCCCUGAAGACUGAUGGAAUAUAAUGCUUGAUCAACAUAAGACACAUGCGGUUAGAGGUCUCCCAACGUUCAAGUUUACUGCGAUCAUGAUUAGUACUUGAAUUUGAAAUCGUUGGACGAUCCUCUAUGAAUGGAAGGUCGUGGCCCAUUAAGUCAAGAGCUAUCAUCAAGCAAUCUGUCCAUUCCCAAAAGUUAGAGACAUUCAGCGUUGGAAUAGAAGACAUGAUGUUGGGAGAGAUACUUGAUACAGUUUGCAUAACUGAAAAUUAAGGAAAAACAUGUUAAAACGAAACAUGUUAUCAUAAUCGAAUGCGGAAACAUUUUAAUGUUUCCUAACAAGACAUGAGCGCAACAUCAAUUCCUAUGUCUUUGGACAUUAGUCAUGACUUGAAAUAGAUGGCUCAAUGCAAUAACAAACAAAUGAUAAUCAAGCCUAUCAUACAAUAGUUAUCAUUUGGGCUAACUACCAUACACAUGGACACCUAAUGAAUUAUAUCAUCUAUUUGUAUUACUCCCAUAAAUUUUAUCUUGCUAGAUGACGAAUGUCCUUUGGGCUUAUCGCCAUCCGCAUAGAUAAAAUUUAUGACCUCUAAUUAAUUCAAUUUCAUUUAAAAAUUAUCCUAAGAGAGCCCACUUUGGCGGGAUGCUGAGAUAAUUCCAACUUGAAUUAAUAGAAACAUUCGAUUAAUAAUUUUCCUUAAUUUUAACCUUAUUUUGAUUAUACCUUAAUCCACACUAAACCGUGCUUCAUAAUCAUAUACUUUAAUCCUUAUUUUCGGAGCCAGAAGCAGUAACCAUAAACUUACGCAAUAUUUGAACAAAAAGAUGGGACUAUACAGAUGGUUAGAGUGUAGGGAGAACACUCAAGCAACCAAGGAUCAAAUCCACCAUCUUACUGUUUUAUGAUUCUAUUUCUGAAAUCCUGAAUUGGGCAUUUUAAUUAAACAAGUCCAUCUAUUUAAACUUUAUAAUAGAACUAGGGGUUGGCUCGCAGUAGGGCGGGCGAGUUUAAAAUAUAUUUUAAUUUUUAUAAAAUAUUUGAAAAACUACUUUAAAUGGAACAUAAUAAACAUAUUUUUUUCUUAGAAAUUUUAUUAAAGUUUGUUGGUUUGAGUUGAAAGAAUUACUAACUUUCUUUUUCAAAGAGAACAUAUAAUUUUUAAAUAAAAAUUAAGAAAAAUGUAAUGGUUUAUAUUUCUUCUGAUAUUUAUUUCACUUUGAUAUAGUUGAAGAAAUCCAAAAUAUGAAUAACUAAUACAUUUUUUCUAAGAGUUUCAAUUAAAACUAUUAUUACAAUAAUAAUUAUUUUUCUCAAGAUAAUCAGUUAAUCCACCUUCAAGAUAAAUCAAUUGAAAAAAUAAUGUAAUGUGAUAAAUUAUAAAAAGUUAUAUUUUAAAGUACUACAUAAAUAGUUUCAAUAAUGUCAUAGAUAAAAAUUAAUAUAUUUUAUUUGACAACAAAUGAUGUUUUAUAAUAUAUAUUUUUUCAGUGUAUAUUAGAUUUUCAAUUUAUAAUAAAUUUGAUUUAACUUUUAGUGUUUUAGUAGUCAGGUUUUGUAGAUUAUUCUAGAAUUUGUUGGAAAUUUUGCUCAUGCUAUUUGAAAAUAUUUUUUAUAGAUUACGUUUUAUAAAUUAUUAAAUAUAUAGCAGAAUUUUACUUGAGUUUCAUACCACAUCAUAUCAAAUAAUUUACUUCGAAUAAAUAAGAGUGAACCAAACCGUAAUUUAUCCAAAAUAACUUAAAUGUAGUGUAACCAUUAAUAAUCUGUAAAUUAAGACGAACCAAACCGCAUACAAAUGUUUCACGAAAUUUUUUUUUUCUCUUCAAACACAAACCAAAAGAAGUAACUCAAUGUUUUAAUUUUUUCAUUGUUGGUUGUACUGGCGUUGACUUCUUGUUUGUUUGGAUCAUUGUUUACGUAUUAGUAUUAGUUUGAUGCUGUCCGGGAUUUAGAAAGUUGACUUGUCGCGGAUGUGGUGCUUUAGAAAGAUUUUUUAAUGUCUCAUGUUAUUUUAGUUUGUUUGCCAUAUUCCAAAGUUACUGAUUCAUGCUUUUCUAGCUUGAAUUCUCUUCUUCCCAAUUUUCAAAAAAAGAAGAUGUAGUUUUUAGUUUAUGUAUUAUGAAAGAUAAAUAGAAAAUCGAGAACAAAGAAGAAGGUUGGUGUUUUUAAUGAAAAGAGAAUUGUAAAAUAACUUUGGAGCAAAUGACGUAAUAGUUUUUUUUUUUUUUUUUUUUUUUUGAAAAAAGGGCAUUCUAUUAAGCAUAAAGAUGAAAACACAAAAAGCUACAGACCCAGCCAGACAGUGUUUAUGGGGUUUAGCCCAUUAGUAAUAUUUCAGAUGAUAACACAUAAAGGAGAACCAACUAGAAGUAAUAAAGCCCAGCCCAAAGCAGUUGAAGAGAGCAGUAGUUGAGUUAUGCGUUCCACACAGCAAAUAGAGGAUGAAAGUCGAGGAGAUUGAUCGCGGAGAGCGGAGAUUUUUGAUCGAAUUGUCGCUUCAAUCUGUUUUACAAUUGAGUCAGGCGGCUUGAAGAUGUGUCGAUGUAGGCGCGAGUUCCUUUCAGCCCAGAUAUAGUACAGCAUGCACUGCCAAGCUAGGAGUCGAAUGAUCUUCAAGUGACGGGGACCUUGGAGGUUCUGCAUGUUGAUCAUCUCACGGUUCCAAUCUUGAUCAGGUCGAUGACCAGCUCUAUUGGCAAUUCUAGUCCAAACGCUCCAAGAAUAAGGACAUUGAUAGUAGAUAUGAUCCCUACUCUCAGGUGCCACGUUGCAGAGUAAACAGAGAGGGUCAGUUGGUAGUCCCCAACCCAGUAACCAAUCUCUCGUGGGGCACCGGUUCUGGACAAGGAGCCAAGCGAGGAAUUUCUGUCUUGGGAUGCCUCUUGGUGACCAAACUGCCUUGUGCCAUUGGGUUGGUUGAUUGUGAUGCUUCAGUUCUCCGUAGACCAGACCCGUUGAGAACUCUUGUGUAGAGCUGUUUAGGCUCCAGAUAUAGCGAUCGUCAAGAGAGUUCAGGGAGAGAGAUGUUAAGUAUACCUGAAGUAGAACUUGUUGUUCUGAUCGAGCCGCCGGAAGGGACCAGACACCAUCCCUGUAGAGGUCAUCAAGAGUUGCAGUUUCUUGGAUACCAAGACGUGACCGUUGGGGGAGAUUAAGAAACUCGGAAAGUUUCCCAUAAGGACUCCAAUUGUCAUUCCAGAAUCUGGUCAUCCUUCCAUUCCCCACUUCAAUGCGAAUCCAGUUAUAGACCAGCGGUCGUAGACGGAGCUCAGACCUUGCUUUGCAGAAUACUUAUUUGCAUUUAACAUAGUAAAAGAGUUUGGUCUUUCCGGUUCUCUGUAAUUCGGACAUUACAAUUUUGGGGACUUCAAAUUCCUCGUUUUUCUACGGAACUACACGUGCAGGUGGUAAGGCGAUGGUGACCUGCAUUUAAAAAUUAUGGAACUAAUUUUUUUAAAACAAAAAAAAAAAAAAAAUUAUGGAACUACGUUUUAGAAUACGCAAGCCAAUUGGUGUGAGAUACGACAAACUGGUUGCAGAAGGUUGGUGACCAUUUACCCGAUCCUUUUUGAGUCUCUCAUUUGUUUCCUAGAUAGCCUCGCAGCUUUUCCGAGGUGAGCUGUGUCCAAACACGUUAUGCAAAGGUUUUCCAUCACGGAAACUUUAUAUACAAAGUGUACUUCAACCCAGAGAUUGGGAACAUGAUUCAGAACCUGCAGCUUGUCCAAUUUUUUAAUGUUGUCGCAGGGGACGUAAUAUUUUUAUCUUUGACCAUGGCAUUUUGCUGCAUAGCCUCUGAAACAUUAAAACAUGGAGAACACAUAGAAUGUUAGCUAAAGUGUUUGUGUAGGUAUCUACUAAAUAUUUGUUUCAGUACCUCCCUUUAUCUUGGCAAACCGUUAAGGUCCCGCUGAUACCUUCAUGAAUUGCUGUUCUUGGCGUAAAAUUACUCUUUCAGGAAGGGUUGCCCGAUGUUACUUCUCUUCCUUUCUCUUUUUGUUCACCAUCUCAAAGAAAAGGCUGUGCCCUGUGUUUGAAGCCAGGCUAUUGGUAAUUGUUCGUAUUUUUAAUGACGGUGAUCUGCAAUAGAAUCAAACACACUCACACAGACCGUAGCUAGCCCCCUGCAGAGUUAUAACAGUUUAUAAUUAGACAAACUCUAUUGGCUAACCCAAGAAAAUACAAACUGUAACUUUUUUCAAAGAUUUUUUCCACUUCAACUUGCAUCAAAGGUCAUAUAUUGAUAUCACUCAAAUUACCCUAACGAGUUAAACACUCUCAAAUAAGAGGUUCAAUCGUAGUAAUUAGGGAUCGAAUCCACAAGAAGGUAGAGAACCAAAUAGACUAUAGAAAUCAAGGUUAAGUUAGGCAAACAAGUUUAAUAGGUAAUAAAUAUGAGAACAGUAAAUAACUAAAAGCAAGGUGAACAAAGUAUAUGUUCGAUUGGUUGAUUGAGGUUGUAAAGAGUUAGGAGAAAUAGCUAGACCUAGGGAAUUAUUUAUCAAUCAAGAGAUUUAAAACUACAAUUCAAGGAUGCUAGUGGUUUAUAGAUUAAUUAUAGAACUCGAUUUUAAUAAGUAAGCAAUCCAGCUUUCGCAUGAAAUUGCUAAUCAGAUGUCUAAGUCCAAUCUUAGCUGUCGCUUGUUGACUUGGAGCGAGUAUCGAUCGAUGCUAUGGCCUGAGCGUCGAUCGAUACUUCCUUAGACAAGCAUUAAUGAUCUAAUCGAUUUAGUUCAACUAGAUUCCUAAACCAACUCUCAUAUGCGUCUAGGUAUCUAAUCCAGCAGAGUUUGGGUUCCGUUAAUUGAUUGCACUUUCGUGCCUCUCAACUAUCCUAUGAUUCUAGGUUCAAACAAUUAGUCACACUGUAGUGCUAUUCUAACGAUUCUAGAUCCUAGUAUUACAAAUCAGCCUGGUAUAGCUAUAGAUAAUCUAGUAAUCCUAAUUGAUUAUCAGUUUGCCAUUAAGCUCAUGAAAUCCCUAAACCUAACAAAAUGAAUUACUGAGACAUGCAAGCAAUAACACAAAUCAUAGUCUGAAUAAUAUAAUAAAUAAGAAAUCAGUGAUAAAACCAAUAGAGUUCUAAUCAAUCUCUGAAGGAGAAUUGAUAUUCCCUCCAAACCUAAGAGAAAACAAUAGAAUAGAAUAAUAGAAAGCGUGUAGCCGUCAACAAUGGCUUAGAAAUACAUAAAUAGGAUUUCUGGUCGUCCAUGGGUAUUUUGGUAACUUGGUGUGGCUUCUGGGCUUCAAACGGUCUUGAAAUAUGCUUGGCCCACGUUCUAGCAUCCAUAUCGAUCGAUGUCAAUAGUUCUGCAUCGAUCGACAUACGUUCCUCUUCUCGACAGCUUCUUCUCGCGAGGCAGACUGACCACUCUUCAGUAAAACGAGCAUAACGUCUGCUACAGGAUGCUGAUUGACCUCACACCAGUGGCAUUGGAAAGCUAACUCAACGAUCUAUUUUGUGUUAGAAGAUGAGUUCAAUCUAACGGUGGAAAGGUCUUAAUCCACAGCUAGAAAUCUGACGCAUCUGUGCAGUUCUGCACCUCAAAAAAAUUCUAAAAUCACCAUAUUUCUUCAAAACGUACCUGAACCUGUAAAUACUCUAAAUAGACUCUAUAUAGUAGUAAAUAUAUAUUAAAACACUUAUAUACCAUGGCUAAAAGUGGGUAAAAUCCAUGGUCUAUUAUAUACUAUUACUGAUACUGAUACUGAUUUGAGCUUCCAUUAAAUUCCUUAGAAGAUAUGAAAUGAUGGAAAUGCUGGAGGUUUUUGUAUACAUAGAAGGAGAUAGACCCAUAAUGCACAGAGCAAUGAUUAUGGAACAAUCGCUAAAAGAACUAAACUUUACAGAAUAUGAACAAUCCCUAUAAGCGUAAAACUUUCCAGAAUAUUAAUGGAGUAAACUGUAAAUCAGAUUUAUGAAAAGAGGCUUACAUUCUCAUCGACAAAGAGCAUGUCAACACUCAUCAGUUCACUACCUUUCCUUACAUUUUUCGCCUCCCAGUAUCGGGGUAAACGAACCUCCGCGACGUUCGAGCACCGUCCUGCGUUCAGAUCGGCAAGAAGGACUUGGGGAUUCGCCAUUGUAAUAACUGGAAAUUGAACAGAAUGAUCUUCUGGUUCUCGUCGAAGCUGAGAUGCUCAUGUCUGGAUGAGGAGGUAUUUAUACCCGAAACUCUACUGAGUAACUCAGGGAAGAGAAGGAGUCGGAUUGAAUGCUGAAAAGUGGGGAAAUCACGAUUUAACCAAAGUAAAGAAGAGCAAAGCCAAACGUUGUAACGUCCAUGGCGUUAUCAUCGACUUUCAUCUGCAAAAUGCGGCGGCCGUAAGAAGGAGAAACGACCAAGAGGAAGAGGCGAUUCCGGGCCUGAAAAUUUAAUGUUUUGAGAUGGACCUCAAACUAAAACACAAAAUCCAAUUUAUCAAACAAAACCCAAUCGUAAAUUAUAGCCAAUGAAAAAACAAUACGUGUCAUUUUUUCUUCCAAGGAAAGAAAAAAGUCUACUUUAUUGGUAUAGAUAUGCACGUUUAAUUAAAUCAUGAAGUUCACUUUAAUAAAUAUAAAAAUAAUGACUUAUUUAAAAAAACUAGGCCAAACAAAACAAAAGAGGGAUAAAAAAAUAUAAUUAUUUGCAUGCUCUUAAAUGGAUUAUUAUCUUAGCCGAAUGACACAUUUCCACAAAUGUCUACACCAAAUGAGAUUUUAUAACAAGUGUCUAACCUUAUGACACAUGCACAACAUACGCAUCCGCCAAAUGACACAUGUCAAACACUCACAAAUAAUUAUUUAUUUAUUAAAUUCAUUUUUAAAUAAUUACCAAAAUGCCAUUAUCUUCAACCUUUGGCUAAAACACCAUUUUAACAUAAAAUCAAGCUUUCAUGAGAUUUUAAUUCCAAAAAUUAUGCAUAAUAACCUUAUAAAUCAUGAUAAAGCAAGACUUUAACUUUAAUCAUGAUUCUUAUGCAUAAUUAAUAAAAUCUCAAACUUUAAAUUCAUAAAUUUUAUAAAUAACCUAAAUAUCACAUCAUGAACACAUGCGACCAUAUACACAUAGUAGUAGGCUCUGAUACCACUUGAUGGAUUUACGUAUACUUAAUGGAGGUGGUAUCGUCUCCACAUAUAUCCUUAGGCCCCUUGAUCUACUAGUGUAUAUGGUUAGCACUGAAAAUUAAGAGCGCUUGAAACACUUACUUGAACUCAUCUUAGAAGAAGAUGAUAGGUAGAUGGUCUUCUAGCUCUUCGUAUCCGAAUUAUCCUCUAAUAAGUAGUGGGAGCUUGAGUAGAGAAUAGAGGAAGUAUGUCUGAUGAGAGUGAGAGAGAAUCCUUAUGUUUUUGUUUAGCAAAAUGACAAAAGCCUUCUUUUCAACCUUACACUUUAUGUUCUCAUCUCUCUAUCUUAUAUACUUCUCCACCUUAUGGUAUAUAUUAAACCGAAUAUAUAUACCUUCAUAUAUACGUGAGCUAGGGACCACAACCAAUCCAGUAAACUGUAACUUAACCGGUCCUGAACCAUUGUCAUUUAAUUCAGCCCAUCAUAGAAUUAAAUGAUAUCCUAAUUGGUUUUGGGAAAAUUGCUAAAAGAGAACAAAAAAAUAAGGUUGUUGUUCCCUUGGUAUAAAACCAACAUAAAGUUGUCUCAAUAGUAUAAUAUUUCUCAUAAUCCCAAAACUAACCCUAUAUUUAAUCUAAUUAAACACAAUUUAAAAGUUAAUUUGAAUUUAAAAAAAAAAGUUAAUGGAGAAAAGGAAAAAAAAAACAGUUGAAAGGCAAUCGAAAAAAAGAGAGGUAUAGAUAUGCAUCUUAGAGAACAAGAGUUUGUGAGAAGAAUCAAAAGAAAAACUAUGGAAAAACCAUAGAUUGAUGAAGAAUAGAAAGGAGAAUCGUUUUUUUAUUUAAUUUUUCAAGUAAAAUCGACCAUAACACAUUUUAGGAAGUUUGAAUAUUUCUAGGAGAUUUUUAGAAUAUUUCCUUAACUGAAAUUUCAUUAAUUUUUGCAAAAAAAUCAGGUAUUCUUAUCCGUAGAAUGUGACUUCUAAAAGUUUAGAAGAAUGAAAAAAAUUCUGAAUACACUUUCUACUUUGAGUAGCAUAAGAGUACAUUGUAGAAAACACAUUCCCCGAAAUUUAGAAUACUUAGUAGAAGAUGCAUUCGGAAGGAAAAUAGAUACAUUUACGAUUAGUAGAAUGCACAUUUCUCUUUUUUAGAAAUUUAGUAAAUAGUAAAAUGGGCGUUCUAAAAGAAGUAGAUGAACGUGUUUAUUUUAGAAAUCGUUUUCUACUAUACCAUUUUUCGUAGAAGACGCAUUCUACUUUUAGUAGAACGUAUUUUAAAAAUCUUAUUUACCAAGUUUUUGAACAAAAGAAAAUUACCAGCUUGUGUAUAUGGAUGUUUUAUUAAUUGUUUAUAUUUUUAAUAAAUUUUUUGAUUCAAAAAAUUAUUUAUUUCAUUAGUUUUCAGAAAUACAAAAGGUAAAAAGGAGAAAAAAGAAAAAAAAUGGACAAAAUUGGUUUUAUACCAAAGGGACAACAACCUGAUUUUUUUGUUCUCUUUUGGCAAUUUUCCCAUUGGUUUUAUGCAUAAAAUCCCCAUGUCUAUCAAUUCAAAUACCAAAGAUCCAAUCCAAAUAUGAUCACUCAUUAUUUGAAUUGAACCGAAAUAACAAUCCUUAAUCCAUAAAUCCCACAAUUGGUUCACAUCUCCAAUAAUAUCUAGGAUUUUAUGCACUUAUUAUCAAAGAUGAUAAAUAAUUUUGUUGUCCUAUUCUAUAAGAAUGUUAAGUUUUUAAAGAAACCAUUAUGUUCCAAAAAAAAUUAUAUAUAUAUAUCAAACUUUCUCCAAGUACACCAUCAUCGCCUUUGGACUGUGUUCCGCCCCUGUGAAGUUUUCCACUACAGCUAAAACAAUAACUAAAUUAUAUAACGAAGUGGUCAAUGGUAAUUUUUUUCUUGAGUUCUAGGUUUACAUCAUUUCAAACCAUAACAUCAAAUUUGGUGUUAAAACUAUACCAAAAUUUUGAUGUUAAAUUUUAUUUUUAAUCUUUAAUCACCACACCAAAUUUUAUGCCAAAACAAUUCGUUAUAUUAAUAUUUUUUAGUUUUGGUAAUUUAAUACAUUAAUUAUUUAUAAUUGACAAAUUAUAUUUAUUACAUUUUGUUUUAUAUUUAAUAUUAAAAUUUGGUAACUUUAUCUUCCUGUUUAUAUAUAUAUAUAUAUAUAUAUAAGUCGUUUUUUUUUCUUUUAGUUAUAUUGUAUAAUUAUUUGUUUAUUUUGUUUAAAAUAUUGGUCGAAACUAAUUUUUUUACAUUUAAAAUUAAAAGCAUGUUUAUGUUGUUACCAUUUAAUGUUAUUAUGAUUAUAGUCAUUUUAAUUAUAUUAUUAAUUAAAAAUAGAAAUGAAUAGAUGAGAAUACAAAUAUAAAAUAUUAUGAGAUAUUCAUUUUAACUAUAAGUUAAAACUAAUUAAUAAAACGAUAUAUCUAUAUUUAAAUAAACGUAAUAAGAUACAUUAAUUUAAUAUUUGGUAUAAUGAAGAGUGUGACAUUAAAUUUGGUUUAACACUAUUUACAUUACACCAACUUUAAUAUAAGAUGAUAUCAUUUUUAUGUCUCACUGGAAAUGAAAUUUUUGAUGUUUUGGUAUCUCAUUGGAGAUGACCUACCUAACUUUCUACCUUGUAUAAGCAGAAGAGUUUUGCGUCUGACUAUUAUGCCAUCAACCAUAGUUGUAUUUAUUACAUAUGUGAAUUUUUAUACCUUCUAAGUAAAGCAAAACACAAAUUAUUCAACGGAUAGGUUCUAAGAUUUUGUAUUGGAUUUUAAGAUGCAUGAAGUUAGUUAAACAAUUCAAAGUUUUCUUGAACUUGUUGAUUAUUUUGUUUAAAUCUAUACUCAUAAUUUUUUGAAAGGAAUUGUAAUAAAACACAUGUUUGUACAAGAUUCUCUAAUGCAUUUUAUGUUACAGUUUUUAACGUAGUUCAACGUAGUUGUUGUAUUUACAUUGUUAGAAGAACCAGAGGACAUGUGUAUCUGUUAAAUAUAAUCUUCACAAACCAAAUUGACUUUAUAUAUAUGAUCACUUUAUGUAAAACACAACAACGAGAACCAUCCGUAGAGUACAUUUCACAUAAAGCUGAAAUUAAGUAACACAAUAUCAUCAAAUAUAUAUAUAUAUAUAUAUAUAUAUAUAUAUAUAUAUUUAUAACACCAAGAAUUUGCAUGAAACCGUUAACACCGAUCUCAUCACUAGCUGCAGAAGUGAAAGAUAUGGUAACAACAGCAGACCGUGCUACAACUGCCAAGACAACGCCAUUGUUAGCCUCUUUUUUUUUACCAUUUUAUGUAGGAAAUAUGAUAUUGUAAUAAUUAAAACAGUAACAUAUCUUCCGAAAUACUAGAAAAAGCGAGGUUUUCAUAUAGCAAAGUGCGAAACAAUUUUAAUUUACUUUGGCUGCUCAGUUGGAAAAGGAAAAACAGUUUGAGCUGAAAACUUGAAGUUGGAUUUUUUCUGAAAAAGAAACUGAGUUGGUGAAAUUAGACAAUUCUUUUUAAAAGAAAACCCUAGGUUUAAAAUUUUAAUCUCGUCUGACAUAAUGAAAACAAAUCUAUAAAAAAAUGUCUGAUGAGUUAAAUAUUUUAAAACCCCCAAAAAAUGGAGAAAUCACAUCUCUAAAAUCUACACAAUCAGAUCACUAAAAACAAAACAAAAAAAAAUACAUUUGAGCGCUGUGUGAAUAUUCUGCAAAUGAUUAACGUAUAACUAAAAGCAACUAAUCUAUAAAUACAAAAAGUAUUUUUUUCUAGCAAAGAAGAACGUAAAUUUAAAGAAAUAUUUACAUUUUUUUAAAAGAACAUUCAUCAUCGCCUUUGGACUUGGUCUCCACUGCGGCUACCACGGGAUCACCACCAGCCACAUCUCUGGUCGGAUAACCAAUUGGCGGCGGAAUUGUGUACGCCCCCUGCGUAGGUUUUUCCACUACAACUAAAAAACAUUAGUAAAUUAUAUAACGAAUUAAUUCGUCAGUGGUAACAGAAUAGCUGUUGUAUAUAUAUUCUUAGCAUCAGUACCAGAAAAAAGCUGUUGGGUAUAUGGACAUUGAUCUUCAAAAGACUUAACUGAAUAACUAGGAGUAUUACCUGAAGACGGAUUCAUUCUGACUUCUAUGAUAAGUGAGGAGAUAAGGAUUAUGAAGAGGAGAGAGUGUUGUGGUUUUAAUUCAAAGAAGACGAGUACUAUCCAUGGUUUUAUAGAGAUUAUGAAUAUCCGGCUCAGGAUUAUGAAGAUAAUGAGUAUGAGGACGAGUGAAUACUUAGGUCCACGACAAUCCACUCUCUAGGUUCUUAGUGUUCGUAUUUCGAGUGAAUAUCUUAAUAAUAAUAUUUUGGAGAAAAGUCUUUGGUGUGUAAGUGUGCCUCAAUGGACUUUUCCAUAUCCAGCUAUAUCUUCUCCUUUCGAGUCAAUUUAGAUUUGGACUCACUAACGGAUGUUCCCCUUAACAUAUAAUUAGAUCUCGAUCCGCACUACCAUGCAAGUUUUUGUUUUUAUUU